GGCCACCAUUGUGAUGACAUGGUCGCAGGGAGCAGGCAAGAAUAUGAGCUGUCCCAGUAUGCAUGCAGCCUGUGGAUUGUACAUGCUUGGACUAAAUGGACCAUUUAGAGAGAUGGUCCAUAGGUUACAGGAUACAUCCUAUCCUUUCCCUGUGUCAUUUGGGUCCUCAGGCAAGAGGACAACUGGAAGAUAGUUACUGAAGGCUGUUAUAUGUCCUGGCAGAAGAGAAGACCUACUGUUUGAUGUGUGAACAAAAGCUUCAGAGGCAAGUGUAGGUCAUUUGGCACUGUAUAUGUAGAGAAUGUGCUGAAUUUACUCUGCAUGCAGAUCAAUUUAUCCUGUUUUAUGCAGCUUCAUGUCUUGCUAUGGCAGAAAGCUGGCCUUUGGCGGUGCUGUAGUGGGGAGGGUGGUGAUGCAUGUUAAUAGUUAAACUACCUGAACAGAUUUCUUGACACCUCUGCUAUAGGGGUGAUGCUGAAAUCAUCUAGGGUGAUUAUGGUGAAAUGUACGCUAGCAAGUAAGCCAUGAGGUGUAGGUGAGUCAUCUUCGUGCUCCAAGGGGUGGCCCAGAAUCAUUGGUAAACUGCAGACUGUCCUACUUAGACUUACUAAGACCUACUUAGUACAAAUAGCUUCAUGCUAAAUGUCCUAGUGGCCAACCUUUUUUCUCUUUUUUCUUUCUCAAUCAGCUGCCUUUACUGACAUGUGCAGUUCAGCUUAUUAUUUCUCUAGGGACAAGGGGCAACAGGCAGGAACUGGAACAUAAGAACUUCCAUACAAACACAAGAAAGAACUUCUUUACUGUGAGACUGUUAGAUCACUGGAACAGUCUGCCCAGGGAGGUUGUGGAGCCUCCUGCUCUGGACAUAUUCAAGACCUGUAUGGACACCUAACUGUGUAACCUGGUCUAGGGAGCCUGCUUUAGCAGAGGGUUAGACUAGGUAAUCUCCAGAGUUCCCUUCCAACUCUGCAAUUCUGUGAUCCUGAGAUUCAGAUGUACCCUCUGAGACUCCCUACAUGUUAGGGUUCCAUGGACUUCUACUUAAUCAGGUAUUCUUUUUUGUAAUGUCUGCAGCUGAAAUAAUUCAUUAACAGUUGAAAUGAUGGAAUGUUUUAGAUGAAUAUUCUUGAGAAUGUUGAAUUUCUUUUCUAUUUAGUAUAAAAUCAUAGAAUCACCAAGGUUGGAAAAGACCCCCAGGAUCACCCAAUCCAACCAUCCAUCACCACCAAUAGUUCUUAUUAAACCAUGUCCCUCAACACAACAUCCAAACGUUUCUUGAAUACCUCCAGGAUCUGUGACUCCACCACCUCCCUGGGCAGCCCAUUCCAGUGCCUGUAUAACAUAUCUAGUAGAAAUUGAGUAGUGAAGGGCAUAAAUGUCUCCAACAUAUCUGAUAAUAUGUAAUUCCUGUUCCUAUCUAUUCUCUUACUUGUUAUUUUUGAGACUCAAAUCACACUGAAUAAAAACCUAUAUUUGAAUUCUCUCAUAUAUGUUAAUAUUCCCCAAUUAAACUUCUUAAUUCAAUACUACAUGUUACAUAUAUUUACUGUGCUGUUGCAUAUUUUUGCGUAAAUAGCGGUAGUUAUCCAACUUUGUCUUGUCUGCAUUUUUGUAUCCUAGAAUUGUAUUAUUAAAAGUAUUCAAUCAAAUCAAUUUAAAUUCCUCAUUAGGCAUGAAUAAAUCAGUAACAGCUUUUUUUCCAGUAUUUGACUGUGAAUCAUGCAACUGAAACUGGAAAGAGAACUGUUGAGAAAUAUAAAGUCAAGUGCUGUGCCACUGAUUUCUGCCCUUGCCUAACUAAAUUAGUAAUUAAUUAUGGAACAAAAUACUACUGGGUAAAGAUGGAAAAAUCUGGCUAUUCUGGUACUACAAAUUUCCCCACUUAAUAUUUCAAAUGCUUGAUGAAGAUUUUUCCCUAUUUUUCAAACUUAUUUGAAUACACAAUAUUUCUGAUUAAGGAUGAGAAGUUCACUUAUUUGCAACACGCCUUUUUCUGAGAAAGUUAAAUAGAUAUUUAAAGACAGAAGACCUUGAUAAUGGCAGACUUUAGUUUUUGCGGAGACAUUAUGACAGGUCACAGGAAAUCAAAGCCACACUGAUUUUCAUUAUUUUCAGAAAAUAGAGGAGGUCACCAAAAUGUGACUAUUUUAGAUGAUAUUCUUAAUGCACAGGGAGAACGUCUGGAGAAUUUGAAGUGACCUACUAAUUCAUUGGGAGUGUUUAUGGAGUGAUAAUGCUUACAACCCUACAGAAAAAAAGAAGUUAGCAGAGUAAAAUUAAAAAAAAAAAAAAAAAGAACUUGGGAGAAAUCAGUCUUUGGGAAAUGGUGAUCUGGAUCUCUUAGGAAAAUCAUCAAGGUAAUAAAUCUUUCUCUUCAAACUUCCUAUAAAUAAGUUAUGAGAAAAUGGACUAUGUUAAAAACAGUAGCAAAAUAUCUGGGUGCAGAAGAAGGGAUGUGAAACAUAUGCAGAGGGUUUACUUCACAUGUUGCCAGAGCAGCAUUUGGUCCUUUUUUCUCUGUUACAUAUUUUGUCUGCUCUCACAAUUUACCUUUUCUCCGCCAUUUCUCUAAUCUAAUCUCCAAGGGCUGAGAAGGUAUUUCUGUUACUUCUCAUGCGCUCACAAGCAAUUCUUCUGCAUUAGGAUUCUAUUUGAAAGAGAGGUCGAAGAAUGGCAAAAGACAACAAUAAACAGUGGGUACGAGCAAACAGAUAAUAUAGAAAAGGAAGCUAGUAUUUGAAAUGUGUAACUGAUAAGGAAGAUGAAAGGGUUAUAAUGCAGUCAUGAAAAAUGGUGACAAAUAAAGGAAUGUACUAUUGCUCUUCAGACUGGAAGAGCAAAUGAUAGCAUUGAGGCCUUUAUGUGUUGGCUUUCAGAACAGAGAUACAUUGUAAAUAGAUGUAUAAAACAUUAUUUUUUAAUAAAGAUACAUACCAAAAUAGGAAAAUAAUGUAUUUAACAGGUUUACAUUAACUAGGAUGUUUUUUUUAAUUUACAAACUCUGAAGUAUCUUUUCUAUUAUUAUUUUUUUCUACAAGGGCUUAAAAAUAGCAGUUUUUGAAUCUUUUUUUUUUAAAGAAAUGAUGGUGGACAGGUUUCUAGGGAACUGAAGAAUAACAAACAGCGUGCAGCAAAUGCACAUUCAAAGUGAGGAAAAAUGAGCACCAUAGACAGUAUUGGGAGAAGAAGAAAACUAAAUGAAUUAUGAAUCAAUUUGUAAGACACAGAGGAUAAUUAAAUAAGAAAGCAACCUGGUGAAUCUUACAAGAAGAAUUGCGCCAAAAUUAUAUGCUUGCUUUCUUCAAUGGAAAAUCAUCAUCUACUUGAUAGAAAAGAAAGGGAAAACAGACUAGGAUACUUUACCCUAGUAAGGAUUUUGAUGUCAUUCUGCAUGACAUUAGCAAAUUAGUGUAAUAUUCAGAAGGUGAAAUGGCUAUACAGUGCAUGGGCAAUGGGCUGAUCUCCUGCAACCCCAAGUCACUCUGUGUUUUUCUCACAAAUGGGAAGGACUCAGUAAAUACCUACGAAGAUUUCUCUUGUACAUAUCUAUUCAACAUUUUCAAGUUCAUUUUUGCUGACAGAACAUCUCUGGAGUUCAUUAUAUUAGGAAUAUUUCAACUAUUACAGAAAAAUACCAGAACAAGCAAUUUUUGGAAUGAAAAUAUCACCUGUAAUUUUUCAAAUUUAGGAGGGAAAAAAUGAAAUUCUUAAGAAAAGGAGAAAUGAUGUGCUGGCUAAUCAAUGCUACUGCAGCCGAGGAUCCUACAGCUUGUAACAGAUGGUUAGCCACAAGAAAAAGAUCAAAUACUUUGAAAAGUCAAGAACUUUUCUUCUUAGUGUACAAGGAAAAUCACAGAUAUUAUGCUGAACUGAAUCAGCAAGAAUUUUACUUGUAAAAUGUUUGAUUUUUUAAUUAUUAUUCUUUGACAUAAGUGAAGAUCUCAGCUUGAAUAGUGUGUGAAGUUAUGAAAACAGUCGAACAAUAUGAUGUAGUUAGAAAGAUGAAAGUAUGAUCUUUUAAAUAAAAAAACAAAACAAAAUAAAACUUCACCAUGUAGCCAUAGUACCAGAAGAUUAUAGAAAUAAUUUGUAGAUGUUGACAGAUGGGGAAAGUGCUAUUAAAUGGUGAGGAGUAAAAUACUGGAAUUGCUUACUAAGAACGUGUGUGGGACCUCUUUCAGUUCAUGCUAGACUGGGUCAGCAGUUUGGUUAUUGUUUAGAGAUGACUUACUUUCCUUUCCUGCUAGAGUGCAGACUUGUGGAUCUCAAGACCUCUUCUAGCCCUACUUUACUAUGAUUUUUUCUUAUUCAGAACUCUAAAUAUGCUUCUGUUUGGUUAAAUAUAAAUUUAAACUCUGUUUGGUUAAAACUACUGACAGAUCUUUUGUGAUGAGAACAGUAUGUUCAAUAACUUAGAACACAGAAUGACUUGCGUGGGAUUACUGCAAGUAUGUAGCCACUGCAGUCAGCAUUUACGUAGGAAAAUAACUUACCAAAAACUCCUUAGAGAUUUGGUAAGAAGUUAAUGACUAUUUAAUUUUAUCCAUAGCAUAGGUAAUAGAAAAAAAAUAUUUGAUUCAGAUUUAACAUUUUCCCUCUGUUAUCAUUGUCAUGCAAAGGAGUAGCAUGAAAAUCUGGUAAAAUUUAUAUAUUGCAGACACAAUUCCCACCUGAAUUCAGGGUGGAAAAGUGUACAGAAAGGUAUAGAACUUAAAGUUACCAAGCAGUUUUGCUACUAUGUUGUGCAUAAUUUGUUAAGUUUUUAAUGUCUGCUAUGGCAGACCUAAAUAAGAAAAUGAAAGUUUUGGGAGUAUAUUAAUAUAUUGCAGUAACAAGCUGGAGAUAAAUCAUUUAGUAUUGGGCUAUAUCUAUUAAACAUUAUUUUUCUCUUGAUAUCCCAACUGAUUUGUAGUGUGCUGACUUCAACCAAUCAAUCAAAAAAACUGGUUGCCAAAAUUGCCAAAGGAGGAAAAUUAAAAAAAAAUAAAAGCCUUUUUGAAGGUUCUGAUGAUAUUCUGAGAGUAUAAGUUAAAAUUUCAAACACAUCUGCCACUCCUGAAAUAAGUUGAGGAACUGCAUUUUCUGUCAAUCUAGAAGUUUUUUACAGGAGAUAAUGUGAUGUCAGUAUUUAUAUAAAGUAUUUAUUUCUACAAGAAAAACUUGCUUGUUAUUAGGCAGUUUUCACAUUAAUGACUGUGACUGCUUGCAUAUUUGGAUAUUAUAUUACUCUGCUAUUUGGACUUGUAAAUAAUGUCUGUCUCUACAGAGAUAAAGAAAAAGAAAACUCCCUUUGAAGGUGAUUUCUUGUUAACUAGUAUUUUUCACAAUGCUCUCUCCAAAUGAAUUCAGUCAGUUCAUACCACUUCACCCUGAGGCUGCCAAGUCCAUCUGGAGAUAUCCACGUUUUAGGGGAAGUUCUGAUGUAUAAAUCAAUAAGAACUUGGUCCAGUUCAUUUAUCUUCUUCCCCUUGAGUCAUCAGCUUUAGGAAGAAAAAGAAAACAAUAACAAAACAAAAACAUUCCUUUGCAAUCUUCAGAAGCAGUAUGAUGUCCAAAUUAUCCUAGAAGCUUAAUAUUUGGACCACCAAUCAAUUGGCAUUUCAAUGAUAAUGUACCUUUUGUGAACACUUUUUGCAAAUGAGAUUAAGGACAUUUUCUUCUUCAAAACUGUAUACCUAGUAAGCCAGAGUUUAUAUUUCAGUUUUAGAAAAGGUCUGAAGCACUGAUGAAUGCAGGCCCAUGGCUGUAGCUUCCUCACCAAGUAGGUUGAUGUUAUCAGUUUAAAAAAGUAACUACACUAUAACCCUAUGCAAAAUACCUGAUGGAAUUCAUUUUCCAGUUGUGCUUUAAAUGUUUUCUUCAGAAUUGGCAGGGUCAUCAUUAUUGUAGAAAAGGAGAUAAUAUAAUGGGAUGUGAAACUUACUAGCAGUGAAUGUGUGUGAAGGAGUGGAUCCUGAUUAGCUAUUCUGUGUGUGCUGUGUAUGCAGCUCUCCAUUCUUAGUGCCCCAAUAGGUUAUGAAUGUAAUUUCCAAAGUGUAUAGAGUAAGCUGGCUAUUACCGUCGAAUCUUUGCAUACUUAUGUAAGGAGGUUUUCUCUAUGGAGUUUUUGUAUCAGAAAUAAUUGAUUUGGAAGUUUAGUUGUUUUUCAAUUUCUAUUAAAUGGCUCUGAAAACUGUAGAAAAAGCAAAAGGGAUGUAACCUAGAGAGAGGCAAGAUGCACCACCUUCUUUGUCUUUCUGUUAGCAGUGCAUCUUGCACAUUUACUGUAUUUAAGUGCAGCAUUUGACUACUAGUGUGUUUUAUCUCUUUAUUGUUUGAUUCUAUUUUAUUUUAUAGAGAAUUCUCUAUUUUAUAGAGAAAUUUGAAUUAUGGUUUUCCAGAACGAGUUCUAAUAUCUGAGUACUGUGAAAUUCUCCUUCACUUCACCAUAUCUUUAGAGGGUUGAUAAAUACUCAACUCUUCAUUUGUUGCUGUACUUUGCCUUUCCCUGUAAUACUAUCUUUGUACUUUAGAAUUUCUCCUUUUUUUUGAUUGGUUCUGGGCUUCUGAUGCUAAUUUAGGAUCUUGAUUCCAAACCUGAAAACAAUUGAUGACUCAGUCAACGUAUGUAAGAGAAUUAUUUUUCAUUCUGUUGUUACAGAAUAACCAGGCUUUUGGGGAAUGUAUGAGUACAGGCAUUUUUCAAGAGUACUGUGUGAUGCAAGUUUCUUUUAGACCCAUCAACAGCUUGCACUGUAAUGAUGAUUAUGUAGCAACUUGGUUAUUUGCACAGAUGUAGGUUUUUUUUAAAAAAAAGAAACUCUCUCCCUACAUCUCCAUGGAAAGAUGAGUUUCAUUUGCAAUACAAUUCCAGGGAAGUUGACUUAAAGCAGCUUCAAAGCAAUCUCGCCUUAGCUUCCUUCAGGGGAAUAAUCCCGUUCAGAACUGUCGUUAGGUAUCCACCUAAGACCAAUUCAUCACCUAACAGAAUUUUUGCCUAAACUGAAAAGCAGCAGAGUUAAUUACUGAAUAGCUUUGCUAUUAUACAAGAUAGCUAUUAGUUUUGACCACUUGCUGUAAAGCUUUUAGAAACAUUGCAUUCAGACUUUUGGUGAUGACACUUUGAAUUUUGGUGUUUUAUAAAUUAUUAAAAUCAGCCAAGGAAGCUUGUAGGAAAAAAAAAACACCACUACCAAAAAAAAAAAAAGAACAAAAAAACCUAUAAUAUUUUUGCACAGAGGAAUGUUAUCUACCAUUUAAACAACUGUUUAAAAAAAGAUUUUCAUUUCAAGGUAAAUGCUUCUUCAGACAUUGCUGGCCAACCGUACUCAUUUUUGCUGACACCAUGGAUUAUUGCUGUAAAUGACUGCAUGUUGACUUUUACACAAACGUGCAUGCUGUGUAGAGCUCUCUUCAAAUUCUCUAUACUUUUCUAUUUCAGACUGUUUCUUUUAUCUAUGAUCAGAGUUGGGCUUUAUUUCUUACUGUAGUGUUCCAUUUAAUGCUACAAAUGUUUGUAAAAAAAAUUUCAUUUAGGUUUUCUUCAUAUAGUGACGUUCUGCUUUUAGUGUUUGCUCCAGUGAGGCUAACCUUUGGGAGGUAGCAGUUAAUAAGACUUCAGGUUUAAAUUUCUGCCUCUGGAUUUAUGCCUUGAUAGGUGGUUUUCCUUAAAAUACAUAGAGCCUUUUCAACGUGGUUAAGAUAGUUGAACACUUUGGACAGGCAGUCUCUACGGAGGAUGACUGCUCUCCUUUUGUGUGAAGUGAACAGGAAAAAGAGGAAGAAAUGUUUGGGCAGCAUCUAUGUGUAUUUCUGUAUGUACACUGUAAGCUGAUGGUGGUUGCCAUCUUUGGCCGCCUUCUUGUUCCCCCUCGAGAGUCUUUAGGUAGCACUGUGGACUUGCUUGCCAUCUUUUCUCUAUAUACAUGUGCAACUGAGGGCUUCACAUCUGUUCUUAACCUUCUUGUCAUCUUCCCUAAAUGGUUUCAGUUUGUUUUAGAUUAUUUGUUGUUUUCCUACUUACAGGAUGUUACUAAGAAACCAUGAGUAGAUUUGCUGGGAUCUUCAUGGCAGUUAAGUCUGACAAAAACCUUCUGCCCAUUCUCCUUUCUCUUCUUGCUCCUUCUGGUGCUUCCCCACCCCUGCACUCUCUAUUCAUAGCAACCUUUACAUUUCUAUUACAAAUUUCUGUGCAGAAUUGGAAGAAAUUGUUUUCCAUGUAUGGCUGAUGUACAGUGCAGUGAAAGCAUUAUACAAGUAGCUUACCAAAAGUAAAAUGGAAAUUGCAAGGAUAGAUCAGUGUUUUCUGAAUUUCUUGAUUCAACAGCCAAAAAGGGAGUCACAGACGAUCCUGUAGCUAUUGGAUGCACAAGACCCUAAGAUACAGCAUUCUCUGCUGUGUUUUUGGCUGUGUUCUUCCAGCAUGAGGGAGCGUGUGGAGAGUGAUACGUGUAACUAACACCCUGCAGGAGGAGGGAACUGCCAAGAGCUGGUGCAAAGGCGAGAAGCAGCUGCCAGCGGCCUUGUUUUUCUCCCUGUGAAAGAAAAGAUAGAAUGAGGAACCAGGGAAUAGAAAUCAUCAUCUUCUCAGCUCAGAAACACUUCAAAUGCUGGAAGGCGUCAGGGCUGGUGUUAGGACUUUCUCUUUCCUACUGUCCCCUUAGGACUCACUUUCUAGGAAAGAUGCACGAGGAAGCGAGCUCCAUAAACAGACAAUAAGAAAAGUGUGGUUUUCAAUGCAUCUGUAUUGCAGUGGUUAGUGGCACUAUUAAACUGAAGUGCUGACUUCCUCUUGAAAAUCAUCGUUGCUUUUGUGGAUCACAUUCAGAUGUUCAUUCUCCUCCUCCGAAAGGCUAAAGUAUAGAGAAAGCAAAAGAUGGUAAAAACAAUAAUUUUUAAAAAGACUGAAAGAAAAAUAGAACAGCUAAUUCCCAACAGGACGUAGACACUGACAUAAGAGAGGGCAGAUUUUGGGGACAAGUUAUAAAAGAACAUAUAAAUGAUGGGAGAAAAGACAGGAAGUGUGCCAGGGAUAUGUAACCCAAGUGCGGUAUGGUGCAGAGGCGCCUGUGGCUGGCUGCUUCACUGCUUAUCUGUGCAGUGCUGCAAGCUGCAUCUGGUGAGAGAUGAGGCAAAGGCUGCCUCAUCCAAUCUAAUGUAAAUAUAAGCAAGAAGACUUCGAGAUUGCCUUUCUGCAGUGUCAGAGUGCAAGGAGAAAGGAAAGGAGGGAACAGGAAGAAAAGAAAGUGAGGAAAGAGGAGAUUACAGAGGUUCUGAUACCUAAGGAGGCUGAGUACUUAGUGUAAGAAACAACCAAAGGACACAUGCCUCCUACACACUGGCCCAGAACAGCUUGCAUCCCCCUGUGUUAAGAUUCUGAAGUUGUCCACGUGUGAAAGACUUUGCAGUAAAUUUAAGAAGUGCAAUGGGAAUGGUAAAUAAUUAGCCUGGAAUUGCUUGCAGUGGUACUGCUCUUCUGUUGUGUGUGGUAUGAACAACGCUUGCUAUUUCCAGCUGAACAUCACUUUCAUUGAUGACAAAAAGUAAGCGUCUGAUCUUUUUAAAGUUCUGGUAAUACUGAGAGUUACUAAGGGUCAUUUACCCUGUCUCCUACAGAGAGUAGAAUCAAGAUAUGCAAAAAUAAAUGGUUUGUUAAAGUUCAGAGCAGAACUGCCACAGAAAAUAUUUCAUUGGUCUCAGCUACAGAAGUUUAGGUACUAGCUGAGGCAACAGCAGAGAUAUUCAUCUAGGCAGUCCUUCUCUGACCUGAUAAUGAAGUAUCCCUGGUAAGUCCUCCUCUUACUUCACAAAUUCAGUAUUCGACCUAGCACUGCCACUUUCUUCUUGGAUGAGUGCUACAGUGGAAUGAAGUCUGGUCCAAUCUCAGCACCACAGUGAGCUGAAAUUCUUGAGGCAGAAUGAAGUAAAUCAGCAAGCUUGUUUUGGUGCUGAAUUAAAAUAAUUGCUGCAUAAAGUUUGGACUAGCAUGCAUUUUAAUAUUUAAUUCAGAAAUCCUUAUUUUAGAGUUUCUCUAACCUUGUAGCAUGAUUAAAAGACAAAAAUCAGGUGCUGGCCUUCUACAGAAAUUUAGGUAACAGCUUGAUUCAGUUUCUUUCAAUUCUAUUUAUAUUUAUAUAAAAUUUUAUAUAUUAUAUAUAAUUGCGAAAAUUCAGUGGCUGACUAAAAGUAAGAAGGAUUUAAUCUGUAAAUAUGGAGAAAAUGAUGUUGAAAAAUUCCAAUCAUUUGAAGAGGAGUAUUUAUGAGAAAAUGUAAAUUACAAUAUAUACGUAUAUAUGGCAUUGAAAAAAAAUGCUGCUUUGAUGAAAGAAUUGAAUAGGCAAAAUUUGAGACAUACUAGAUGUACAAAUGUAGUAUUGACAAUUGCAUAUCAGUAUGUCUAUGAAAAGGGUCGAAUAUCUUGGGAAGCAUGGGGAAUUCUGACAAGAAAAUAUAUUUUAAGCCCAGUUCAUCAGAAUUUGUCUAAAAUCCCAACAGUCUAUAGCAAGACUAAAGCUAAAGUUUUCUACUGAAACUAUUCCUUUCCUGUUUCCAAAUUCUGUGAGGCAGAAUAACAAACAGUUACAGCCAAGGCAAAUAAUGUUGAAAGCCUUUUCAGUGGGAGCCUAACUGUAUUUUCUCCAUCAUUGUUCUUAGCAUUAAUGUGUCCCUGACUUGUAGUUCAGUCCAAUUGUUUCACUUUGGAGAACGUUGCCUUAUCUAUAAACUAGUUGUGGGAAAUGGCUGUCUACUGAAAUGUGUACAGUCAGUGCUGCUGGAUUGGAUUUUACUUGACAGGGUUAGAAGUAUUUCAGUUAGCUAGUCUCAUGGUACAUUAAUUUUUUUUUUUCCUUUUAUCAUGUUUACAGAACAAAAUGUUAGAAAGAAAAUUUUGAAUUAAUGUCAUCUUGAAAUUUUUGUUUCCUUGUUCCUUUUAUUCUCAAACCGAAAGCAGAACUUUUAGCAUAGUGAGAGGACCAAUGAUAUGACAAAUAUAAAGCAAUGUACAAUUAUAUCUUGAAAGUUGCACCCUGAAUGUAAUCCUUUUGACAUUUCAUGUGCACACAGAUGCCACCUAUUUAAAUCUUUUAUUUUUAAAUGUGCAUAUAGUAUAGCUUCAUUUGAAACCAUAUCGUUAAAGGAAAACACUGCUGAUUUCUCCAGCUUGAGAUGUAUGAAGAGAUGAAUCUCCAUCUAUGUAUUUGUGACUGUUGACACCAGCUGCCUUUUACCUAAUGAAGAUCAGGUCUUUUGCCCAGCCAGUGAGCACCCAGACUGCAUAUCUUUCUCCAGCUUUUAGGGAUGUUUGGGUACCUACUUGGUGAAUCUCAUUAAGCAGUCAGUGUCUUAACUGUCAGGCUAUUGACUAGCACUCUCUACUAAGGCAAGUUUGUUAUGCUGCAGAGAGUUCCAAAUUACAAAGCUCCAUUGCUUUGUGUAUUUCCCCAACCUUCAUCAGGUAGGAUCUCUAAGCCUCACAGUAUCGGGGUUUUUUUGUUUUUUGUUUUUCUGAAUUGUUUUCCUUUUUAGUGUUUUCCCACCUUUCCUAAAUGUCUUUCCUUCUUGAAUUAUAACUAACCUCCCUUCAGUGCAACAAACUCAUUACUAAAAUAAAUGUUGCAACUUUUCUCAACUACUACAAUUCUUAGACUGGCUUUUUUUUCUGCAUUCCCUUCUCACUUGCCACCUAGCUGCAAAGCACACAUAGAAGGCAAAAUUCUGUCCCAGUUUCUACAGAAAACCUUGAUCCAGGUGUAUGAAGGGAAGGAAGGAAACCAUUAGAUCUUGAUGAUGUUCAUCACAUCAGCUCCAUUUUUGUAACCAAAUAUGGCUUUUGGCACUGAUGAUGACUCAGAGUUUGCUUAUCUAUCAUUAUAAGUGUAAUGCUUAGUUUGUGAGCAUAUUCUGUAGAUGCUAACAACUUGGUAAUCUGAUAAGUUUUAAUAAUAAAAAAAAAAGAGACGUAGUUAUUCUGCUGAUUCACCCUGGCAACCAGACUGAUAUAAUCCCCUGGCUCCACACCAAGAGAGUUAAAAUGACAGAUUUUCUCUGGCAAAGAAGAGUCCAUAUGCUUUACGGACAGUAAAGUUCAGGGAGAAGAUUAUGUCAAGAUUUACAUCUGCUGUUAUUAAGUUAAUGAGGGAAAUCUAUCUAGGGGGAAUGUACGCAUGAGAUCCAGUUGAAUUAACUGUUUGCAUAUGUUACUAGGCUUUUCCCUCUAUUCCUUGCAGUGAAAAGCAAAGAUAAUUUUAAAGAUACUUUGCUUUUCACUGCACUUCUUUUUAAAAGAAUUCCUUUUGCUUUAAGAUUCUAAAGUUUGAGAGCCUAAAUUACCUGCUUAUUACAAAUGGGAAUUAAGAAGUCAGCUGUAGAUGUCAAUUUACUAGGAAAAAUUGGAUUAAAAACAAAAAGGAGAUACUAAGUCGACGUACUUUUAAAAUGAUGAUUAAUCAUACUAGUGCAGCCCAUUACACAUUCCAUUUAUACAUCAAAGCUUUGGCAGGUGGAAGAGUUCCUAAUCUGAUGGUUUACAUACCAUUUAUUUAUUUAUAUCAGUUUACCUUCAAUGGCACAUCUGUUCUGGGACUCUGUACAGAUGCUUGCCUGCUGUCUCACUGCUAACCUGGAAGUGGUCCUGCCUCACCAGUGUAACCACUGGGAGAGAAAACCGCCAGGAAAAUAUUCUGUUCUCCCUGUUGUGGGCAGGUACAAAGGCAAUCACUGAACUAGCCUGAGGUCUUGUCAAAUAUAAAAUAACAUUUCAUAUCUUGGGAGGAAGGAGAAGGAUUGAAUUUUAAUCAUUUACUGUAUUCAGAUACUGCACAGUUUCUUAGCUGAAAUCACAAAGGGAAGAGUAAAAUAUCAUUGACUGAAUAAAUAUGUAUAACAAUUCUAGAAUGACUAAAUACCAAAAUGGUAAUAUUGCAAUAGCUGUACAAAAUUGUGUGCAGAUAGUCUGACAAAAAGUCCCAAGAUAAACUUUGUUUGGUAACUGCUUGUGUUAGUAGCGAUAUAGCACUGAAGUAGUCAAAGAUCAGGAAUUCUCUGUGUUAGGCAUUGGGUAUUCUUGUCCUGAGAAGUUUCACUGCUAAUCAGUUAUUUCAGUAGUAAGGUUAAACAUAUAUCUGCUUUCAAGAUUGGAGACUUUCAUAGUAACACAUCUGUUAUUCCUGAGUACUGUUGGCAUAAAUCCAGGAGAUGGACAAAAGACAUUUCAGUGAUCUGAUUCAAUGGAUGGAGAGGGUGGGCAUGCAUAUCAUCAAACUGCUGAUAUCUGUAGUCUCCCUAGAUUACAUUUACUAGUCUCUCCCCAGUUAAGUAGGGACAACAGGGAUGUGUUCUGUAUUGCCAAUUCUGUGCAGGUUCAGCAGAUAGAGUAAGUGAUUUGCACAAAUCAUGUGUUAUUUUAGACCCAGGGCCAAGGACUAAAAACAGAGCUCUCCAGUGAAACUAGAUGCAUACUGUCUUCUAUUUGAGAAAUGUGUAUUUCCAGAACUGAAUCAUACAGACAUUUUAUUAGCCAUGGUCAUCUUGGUUGAGCAGAAAAAUUCACAAGUUAGCAUCAAAAGCAAUAAUCAGAACACAGGGAUUUGGUUUAUGUUUUCAACGUGUUUCCUGCUAAAGUUAAUUCCAUUAUCUUCAUUAUCUUUUAAGUGGAAAACUCCUCAAUGAAUUGGUAGUAAGCCUGUGGUCUUAUCUGCUUUUAAAGCCAAUUCUGCAUUUAGUUAGUUCUCCCUAGAGUCAAAUAGGCAGCUGGUUGGUCCUUGCUGCCAUCACAAGUGUGCAUGUGUUUUGAGAUAUGUUUCAUUAGUACUAAUCUGAAGCAGGUGGAAGGGGAACAUAGGAAAAGAAACCAUUAGAAAGUUGGUAAGGAAAAGUCUGUUUUGAGAGAAAUUGAAAAUUGCAGUGGCUGAAGAUGAGGAAGAUGUAGAAAACACUGUUGUUUUUUUUUUAGAAAUAGUAGUACUACACUGAAAUUGAUUUGCUGAAGACUUCUCUAGAAAUAGUAAGAUUAGGGAGAAUAUUUUUAGCUCAUGGUUAAGAGAGCACGCAUGUAACUGGAGAAGGGCCAGGCUGCUCAGGUUUUCCCUUCUCAGCGUCUCCAAUGCUGUAGGCAUAUGGUUGUGUGCCUUUGCUGUUUUUAUCAUGAGCCUAUUGUUGCUUAUUAUUUAUUUCUCUGUACCCUAUUUUUUUUGUCCCCUAGUACUUUAUUUAUCUAUUUACUUAUUAUCAAUCAUCUGGUAUGUUUCCUUUCUUCUCCAUUUGGUUUGAUUUCCCUUUUCUGUCCAACUGAAAAUUGUGUGUUGGUCUGGUUAGAGAGGUAUCUAUUGACUAGUAUUUUCUUCUGCAGUAUGAUUUACAAGAGCAAUGACAAUAGGUUAGGGUAAUACAAACACUUCUGUUCAGAAGUGUGAUCCUAUUUGGGAUGGCAAAAGUGCAUUGUAGAGUAAUGUUUAAUCUGAGAGAAGAAGAGGUGGAUCUGAGCUGGCACAUCUCACUACUCCAGAAAAUGUCAGUCCUCUAUGCCUUUUUGCUGCUUCAGCUGUGUAAUGACUAUUUCUCCAGAGCUCCCACAUUAAACAAAAGUUUGUGUAUCCCUACAAUAGUCCUUGAGGGAAACACGUAACUUAUUUCUUAGAUCCUGUAACUGAAGACUACUUUACAAAUUCAAAUGUCCCUUUAUUUUGCAGAACUCUGAGUAUGAAAAAAUAUAGAAAAUAUAUAGUAAUUAGGGCUGUUGCUUUGCCCUUCUUAGUAUAGUUUUCUUCAGAUAGAUUGCAAGCACACCUGAUGAAACAAAAUGCUAUGAUAAGGAGUGAUUAUUCUGCUGUAACUCAGUAUGUUCAUAUGCAUCUCUCCUCUCCCUGUAAAGGGUAAUCUAGACAUGGAAGAAGAGUAGCUGCUGGUGUGAGUUUUUUUUGUUCUCACAGUUUUUCAGAACUUUUUUCUUGGUAUGCAGAGAUUUUAGAGCUGAGAAUAGCAAACUUGAUUCUACUGUAUGAAAUUUUCUGCCUGUCAUAUUAAAGGUUGUGAGGUAGCAGCAUGUGCACUGCCACAAACCACAGCAUUUAUGUUUUAAAUUGUUCAGUCACAAAUGAAGCACAGGACAAGAGAGCAAAACAAAAUUAAAUUGGACAAAGCCAAGAAGAAUGACAAACAGGCUAGCAGCAGCCUUGUGGCCCUUGGCAAUGUGUAGCUGAUGGGUGUUGACAGAUCAAAUUUUAUUCCCAUUCUGAAUUCAAUGUAUGCGUUAAAUAAAUUACGAAUCUCAUCAAUAUCCUCUUGACUUGAUUUACUUUGUAUAGCAGGAGCACUCCUGAUUCUUCCUUUUUUAACUCAGUUUGUGCACUGCUCUCACAGAGGACCACCUCCUGACAGAGUGGCAGAGAGCAGGGAAGCACCUUGAAGACUUUAGAAAAAUAUUGACCUUUAUAUGACAAUUAGAAGACAUGCAACAUACCCUGUUGCUAUUUUGGUAUUCCUGUUUCUUAACCUGAAAGUAAGCGCAAAUCAUAGGGAGUCAUAUCCCUCUGUCCAUGCUUUUAUGCCUUUAAUGAAGUCUGAGAGUCAAAUUUCUGAUGUGUUGUUUUCAUGGUGUGCUGGAAAAUGGGAGCUUUAAGCUGGAUUUGAUUACUUAUUUAGAAAUUUGGCAGAAGUAGUUUUAAUUCAAUGUUUGUGAGAAUGUGGCCACAUUGCGCUCUGCUGUGUUUUCAUAGAGAUAGAAAAUAAAUUAAAAUGGCACAUUUUUGCAGGGAUCUGAGCCCUGAAAUUUCUCUAACAAAUAUUUUUGAUCUUAAGGAGACAAAACCAGAAAAUAUGGUAUACUCAACUACAUUGUAAAAUGAAUAGUAUGUUUAGAGGGAGGUGCAGUCCAGUAUGUUUUAUUGCUGUGAUAUCCUUCUGUGAUCCUUUUUAUGAAGAAUCCUCAAUAUAAUAAAUAGAAGUUUAAGUGUAAACAGCAUUCCAUAAAACAAACAAAACUUUAUCAAAUUGUAUCGAUGGCUAGAAUAAACUAACAGAAACAUUACAAUCGGGAAGAGAAUCACAAACACUUUAAUAAUUGAAAUUUCCUGAAAAUACUAUUGUAAGUUAUUUUCGGGGACUUUUCUGAUAAAGGCCCUUAUUCACUAUGAAGAAAAUUAGGUAAGGAGGCUGAAACAGCAUGGUACUUUAUAAACAUGGAUAGUUAGAGCUAUCUCAUUUAAAACAGAACAAAAACAUGAAAACAAAAAGCAGAAUCUAUAGCAGAAGCAGGUAAAUAGUAGCAAAAGAAAAAAAAUAGUCCAGAAUUGCCAAACAGAAGAUCUCAUACAAAGCCUUUUUGGCCCUAUAAUUCUUGGUCCAUUUGACCAACAAGAGUAAUCUCAACAUAUUCAUUGGUAACCAUGAAAUAAACUGUCGGAGAGGAAAAGGUGAAAACAGCUGGGUGGAGAUGGAUCACAUAUAUCUUGAACAGAGGUACUGAAGGAGGAGGUAAAACAGUUGAGUGCAUGCAGCAAUAAGUCAAAGGAUGGUUCAUUUUAAUGUACAGCUUUAUAAGACAUCUGUGUGAACUGACAGUAUUUAACAGAUGGAGGGUGAACUGUUUAGGAAGAGGUCUGGUAUAAUAAAUCUUACUGAAAGUAAGAUGACAGAGUGAUUUGUCAGCUUCACCCCCAAAACAAGCUUCUGUUUAUUGCAUGAAUUACAGCACUAAAGGAACAGAAAAGUACCAAAGAUGUUUUUUAUUUUUCUGAAUAUGUGGUAAGUAGCAUUUUAUUGGAAAAGAAGCCUCAGGUAAUUAAGCAGAAGUCCAGAGUACACCUUUAUUCUAAAAUGAACUAACUACCAAGAACAGAUGAAACUUGGCAAACUAACUGAUUUGCAUCUUUGUUUAUGCAGAGUAGGUAGAAAUAAAUGGGUGGUUUCUCUCUCAUUAAGUGUUGUAGCUCACAUAGUGAGGAUAUUCUCUCAAAAUCUAAAGGCUACGCAGUAUCAGCCUUUGACUCCUCUUUGUGACAGUACUAAAACAUUUCUCCAGAUCUCUUCCUUCCAACCUGUUUCCAUCUGUUACUACUGAAGUAUUUAUUUCCUGGUUGUGUGUUUUUGGACGGUAGUUGCAGUUGUCUAAAGUGCUUUCAUCUCCCAAAAGCCAUUCUACUCUGGGCUUAUUUCAGAUGUGCUGAUACUGGGAUUUCCUGUCUGAGCAUCAGCAUAAUCCGAACGGUGCGUUACAGAAUACUUAUGAUUUUGUGGGAUUAACCUUCUGUUGAGGAAUUCAAUAAGGCAUUUCUUAUUUUCUUCUCCAUUUAGUAUUACAGUAGCUUUCCAACUCGUAUUGAAUGCAUUAGUAUGGUCUGCUGCAGUUCAAAUUGACAAAUACGCACUUCAGUCCUCUCUGCUGAGUAUUGAUUUUACCACAUUGAGCUCCACCAGAUAAAGUUUGGUCCAACCCAUCUCCUGGCCUUUAAUUUCCAGUGUUAUUGUUAGUCCCUCAGAUGCUGCUUUGGCCUUGAGUGUCUGAGUAGGCAGAGCAGCUGCAGUGUGUUUGCUUCUGUUGUGCAGCAGUAAUAGAAAUACUAGGUGUAAGGACAGAAAGCUGAGAGCUGUGACAGUCUGUGCUGCUGUAAAAAAAAAUUCUGCCCAUCUGGUAUUCUCCUAACAUCAGACACUGCUUGCCAUUUAAGAAAAUUAGAUUACAGCUCUAUUAAUUAUUAUAUGAUUUAAAAACAAACAAACUCUGCUUUAAACUGGUGUGUUGUAAAGUAAAAUUUCAUGGUACAUAUAAUGAACAUUAGUAAUUAGAUAUGAUAGUGUCCAAAUAGUAGUAGAAGUACCUCUGACUUAGGGUGACUUGUGGAAGUGUUCUGUGUUCUGAGACCAGAUCACACAUGUAAGUUGUCAGGCAGACUGCACUGUAAAUGAUUUUCAUUGCUAAGAAAAUUCUUCAGCCAUCUUUUUAAUGAAUUGACUUUCUGUGAAUAACCACAUUUAUAGGAGAAACUUUAAUUCAAUUUGCUAAGGAGUUGACAGGAGGAACUCAUUAUUUGCUCAGAGAAAUGCUUUUGUGUAACAAAAAAUCAUAAUGACCUUUUUGAGGACGAAGAUACUUUUCUUUUGUCUCUUCUGUUUUAUUCUUCACUCCUCUUUUAGUCUAGGUAAAAUUCAAAUGAAAAAGUCAUUUUCAUUUGAAGCUCUUUGUGCCUUAGCUUUUUCUAAAGUUUUGAAAUAUUCUUUUCCAUCAACCUGGUAAAUAGCAUUUUGAAAAAUUUUGCCAUGCUUUGUACAAAAACUCAGCUCAUUAAUUUCUGAUUCAAGAAGCAUAUUAAAGAAGGUGUGGGGGUGGGAUGUUUGACUUUCCCCCCCCAUAUCAAAACCUGCCUUUUGAUUACUGUUGUGAUUUUUAAUUGCAUUUUCCCUGUGUCCUGCACCUUUCAGUUGUUUUAAAAAUUAAGCUGUGAUUUAAAAAAUAAAAAUACAAUAGAGAAAGAAGAAAUACCAGUUACUGGAAGAAAAAAACAAAGCUAUGUUGAGUGGUGCUGUCUAACUGAUAAAACAGAAAUGAUGCUGGGGGGGGCACUGAAUGAUUCUAGGCUCUUUUCUUUCCUCAUGUUGUUUCUUUUAGUGAUGAAAAUGAUCCAUUCUCUCUAACACAUUGAAAUGCUAUUGUCCUUUGUGCUUGUCCUUAACAGUUCUGGUGCUGCCGCUUUAUUGUGGAAAUGUGUGAGACACUAAAAAGAACAUCACAACCUGAUGUGGCAUUGUAGGGUUCCCCUGCAGGCUUCCCUUUUCUCAGAUUUAUCACAGCAGCAUCGUGGUGCAAAUAGUGCCUAGAAGUCCUCUGUCACCAGUUCCUACUGCUGCCUGAACUGGUUGCUGCUGUUCUAGACCCCCUCCAGGUCUUUAACAGCUUUACCAGUCAAUUUGAGCCUCACAUUUCUCUUUCUAUUUCCAGUGUUAUUUCACUGUAGUAUCUCAGCAUUAUGGUUUGCAUUUUCACUUUCUCAAGAUCAUCUUGUGUGCCCUCGGGUUUUUAUCUUCUCUUGUUUCUUCUUGCUCAUCCAGCCAUUUUUUGCCUAUUCUUUGGGCUGCUGAUAUUGAAUGCUUUAAGUACUCUUCUCUCUCAUUCAAACCCUACCCUGUUGUUCCUUGUCACAUGUCUAAAUAUUAUCUCUUUUGCUAUGUUUCACUGAUUUCUGAAGUCUCUUCAGUCUAUCGCCUUAUCCACAGCAAUUUCUAUAUAGCUGCAACUCCACAGGUUCAAGGAGUGUUCUUGACCUAAAAGGACUUUUCUACUGUUCUUAAGAUUUAUCUCUAUGAAGCUAACUGCAAGGUUAGCAACUUUUUAAUUGUAGGCUCCCUAGGACAAGAACUAUAUCAUUUUUGUAUGUAUCCUGGAAACUGUACAGAAUAAUAAUUCUAGUAGCAGCUGGUACCAUAUACCAACACAGACUGAACAAAUAUCACAGCUUACCUGUGAUGUUUACAUAAGUACAGGACAGGAAAUGAGAUGCUUACUUCCUUGAGCCAGGGGUGUGAUUUAAGUGAGCACUCUGGCUUCUCUGUCUCCUGGCACUUCUGUGUAGUAACAAGCCCUGUCUGCCUCAAGAUACCACCUGGUGCCUGAGUGCAUAAUCUGGAGAUACAGAUCUGACACAGUUCGCAGCUCUGUCUUUCCUUCAUUUCUGAGCCUGGAUCCCUGUUGAAGCAACAGCAAAGCUCUAAAGAACAGAGGAAAACGCAGUCUCCAGUGCAUGCAGAUUGGAAGCCCAGGCCAAACUCAGCAUGAUUCAUCACUCAUGCUCAAAGUGAAUCCUUUUAUAUUGCUUCAAGCUUAGCAGCUCAAUCAAACACUAUUCUACCUGCAUGUACUCAUGAGCAGCCUUUUUCUUUUUCGUAACUCCACAGAACUGUCCCUUUUUGUCCAUCCUCUCUCUGCUCCAGAAACAGUAUAAUCUGCAUGUUGGGUUGCCAGUUAAACAAACUCUGAUAUAUGUUUAGUUAACAGAGUGGCUACUCAGUUAUUAGAAAUCCUGCUUCUCCACUGCCUUGCACCACAGGAAAUCAUAUAUACCUCGGUCAUGCAAGUGUGAAAUGUAAGUCAGCCAGUGCUGGCACCCACAGGUGUACUUCCAUUUCAAGGAUUUAAGGUGAUUGUGUUGCAUUUAAUGAACCGGCUUGCUUACUGACUACAAGCUUUACAAAGCAAUGAAAGAACAAACUUGACUUGCCCUUUUAUAGUAUUUUGAUUACUUAUUCAGUUACUGCUGUCAUCUUCUGUCCUGGAGGAAAGUAGGAAUUUUGUCAAUGACAAAGAAUGGAUUAUCAAUAAGAGAAAAGAUUCCAUUUAACAAUGUGGUCUUUGCCUCUCAGGCAGCAUUGUUGUUUCUGUGUUUGAAUAUUGUGGACAUGAAUGAAUGGCAAAUGAUGGAUUACUUUCAAAUCUCAUCAUUUUUGUCUGUGUGUACAUGCCAUUGGCUAUUUUUUUUUUUAAUAUAACACAUCAGUAGUUUAACACAGAAUAUCAUACAGAAAACACAACAUUAAUAUACUGUCUUCUCUGGGCAUUUCUCUUUCUGUUUGAUUUGUUUUCAUUUGCACUAUCAAUUAUACAUGUAAACUAAGCUGCUAAAUUUCUAUCUGAAAUGUAAACUAAUUUUACACUUCAAAUUUAAAAUAUUCAUGUAUAUAUAUUAUAUGUAGGUCAUUUUUUCCCCCUUAUUUAAAUAUUUACUUUGUAAAUGAGGAAAAAAUAGGUAAGCAUGUAAUACUUGGCUUUUAUACACCCCAUGAAACAAGUCCAGAGUUCUUUCCGGCUUUACAUUGCUUAAGAACAGAAUGGAUAUUCUCUAUAAAGCUUUUAUAACUUGGAUGAAUUGUGUGCCAUUUUUGAGAGAUUGUUAGACCUUGCAGGUCUCAAGGUCUUAGAUUCAAAUUUCAUAGGGACACGAGCAGUGUAUUUUCUGUGCUAGGUAGAAAAGUUAGUAAUAUUGAAGAGUGAUUCUGUAAUGUUUUAAAACUUCACAUGAUAAUUUAAUUUGAUUAACAGAAAACUUGUGAAAAGCCUAAAAUUAAUUGGGGAAGUUUGAGAUUAAAUUGGAGAAACAUACAUAGUGGUUUGUAAAAAAAAACACUGUCAGACUGAGAAUGCAAUUUAUCUGAACACUCAUGUUCCCUGUGAAUUUCUGUAAAAUUUGCAAUGCGACAUUGAUGACAAAAGCUUGGGUUCAGAAUUAUUUUGCCACAGGAUGUAUCUUGUUAUCUCUCUCUGCUAACAGUUCCUGUAAUGGAAAAGGUAAUGUGUACUUAUGAACACCCUUCAUGGCCCAUGUGUAAGCUGGCAAAUACCCCACUCUUCUGAACUGACAUGGCAAGGAUAGUGAUGCUCAAAAACACAGGCUAAAACUGAAGAGUACUCAGUAGGUGUUUGAGUAAUCUUGUAGUCUGUCUGUUUUAUUGAGGUGAUGUUUUAAGUUUUACAGAAGCUCAUAAUUAAUAGAAGUUUUGAAGACAGUAGGGAAAAUUCAACACAAUUUAAUAUUAAAGUUAUUUUAGUAGCUUUUAGAGGUAAUAUUGUUCAUGUUCAUCAAAAUUUCACCAAAUGAAUAUCUAGCUCAAAACGAACAGUGGUUUUUGCUUUCACACUUAUCUGUAAUUUCCUUCCGGAGUUGGUAAUUCAGCUUCUGCAGUUAUAAGUACAGUACCUAACAUCUCUUCUGGAGAUUUGUUUUUUCUUUUAUUCUCUAUUAGAGUGUCCUUGGUUUUUGACUUUUCACUUCUGAAGCAUAAAAAUGUCUGUUUGGAUUAUUCUCUCAACUUUUAAUUGUGCAUAUACUGAAAUUACUUAGAAAUGAAAGCAGAUAGAAGAGACUACAUUUUACAGCACUUACACAAAAUGCAUGUGCCAUGUUUCACGAAUUUCUCAUUCCACAUGAGGAAUCAAGAUUUACUUCAAGGCUGCCAAAUAUGUUACAUGAAGUCUGGGCCACUGGAUUGUUUGAGAUCUUUGCCAAGCUUUUCAAUCAAGGUUUAUACAUCUAGAGCAAAAUUAACUUUAUAUCAGUAAGGAUACUUAAGUAGUGAAAAAAUAAUCCCAUGAAUGUUUUGCUAGGUGAUCAGUUCAAAUUUCUAACUGAUAGAUUAUGAAGUAAAAUAGCAUUUAAAGGACAUUUCUCCAAAUGUAAGUAAUUUAUUUUAUUUUUCUCAGGACUUCUGCAGUUUAUGAUAUGAUCCUACGUUAAAAUUACCAAAGUGCUAAGGUGCUUAAAGUCCAGGUUUUAUUUCUUCCUUCUGUUCUUUUUUUACAUUAUGUAAAAUAUGAAGAAAACACAGCUGAACUGUGGACUCGUACAGAUAGUCCAUGCAAACUAGUCACUGUCGAGCUCUUUUAAAACUAGAGAUUCUCAGGAAUCCAUUAAUAAUUAUAUGAAGCUUGUGAUUUAACUGGUAUUAUACCAUGUAGAAAUGAGUACUUAUACCCCUUCAGAGUUACAUAAAGCAAUGAAAGAUGGUAUGUUGUAUGAACAUCUGAAAACAUUUUAUAUUUAGGAUGAGCUUUUCUUCUGACCUGGAGAUACUAAUUCAUUUUUAUAGUUUGGGCUAUGUUAGGAUCAUCCUUGUGUUUUGUUAUGCACAAAGUCUGUUUUUAAAAAUUUUGUACAUAGAUUUGCAUUGGGUUUUCUGAAAUCAGACUCCGGAUGACUUGUUUCCAGAGAUGAUGUCUAUGAAUGAACUUUAUAUUGCAGACACAGAUCCAUAAAUACCAAGGGUACUGUCAGUACUCUGAGAGCAGAAUUACGCUGUUGUUGGUAACUGAGGCCUUACUCUUCAUUGGCAAAGUGAAACUAGCACAGCCACAAUGGCAGCUUAUGCAAAAUUACUGUGUUUAGGUAAAGGAAGGAAGGGAGCAAGACCAGACAAUAAUUUCUUAGCAGCACAAAACGCUGAAGUGACAGGUGUUACUGUGCAAGUGUUUCCACCUUACUGUAAAGUAAUUAGAAUGUUACACAUAUUGAGAUCUAGCUGAGAUUCAUGGAAAUGUCAUUCCCUUGGAUCUUCCAUCUGAACUGUGGCAGAGGUGCAUAGGUUGUUUGAUGAGAGAUCAAAUCUAGACCUAGCACAUAUGCUUUUCUACCAUAAGUCUUACUUCGUUGGUUAUUUAUGUAACUGGUUUUUAUCCACUUGUUUUUUCUUUCUGCUACCACAUUACAUUUAUUUUCCUUUAAGACUAAGAAAUACUAAAAUGAAGCAUGUAGCUAAAUGUCUGCCCAUGUUAAUACUAUAUAUAGUUAUAUUUUUUCAACAACAUUGUUUUUAUUAGUUUUCUCAUGACAGGCUUGUAAGAGUGUUUUAUCUUCAAUAUUUUUGCUGUUUAAGUAGGACUGUAGAAAUAAACUCCAUUACUCACAUGCUUGAAGCAAAGCAAGCAUGAAUGUGCUCACAGAAGCAGGAUAUAAAUGAAUACACAAAAUAGCGUGCUGAGAGAAUAUUUUUUAAAAAGGCAUAGAUUAUGAUAUCUAGAAAGAAGUUUAUAAGCAAGAACCUGUCCCUUGUAUGUCAUUCUCUAAUGAAAAUGAAGCAGAUUCCUUGAAAAUGAGGUUGUCAUAUAUAAAGAGAUGUGUUUCAUUCUGUAAAGGGAAUUUUCCACAUUUUAUUCGAACACUCCAUUUUUUACUUGCAUUCCUAGAAAUGCAAAUUCCUUAUGUUACUUGUUUAUUUAUUUAUUUUAAAUCUCUUUAAUGAGAGGGGGAAAUGAAAUAUAAGAAUUGAAGAAAAGAAAAAAAGCUAAGACUACCUGCAGCCAUCCUCUCAUGAAUAUUUGUGCUUUUCAAUACACAUACAUAAUUAAUUCAUGACUGAGCCAGAAAAUUGUUUAUAAACUUACUACAGGAAAGACAUCAAGGCCCUGGAGCGUGUCCAGAGAAUGUGAACAAAGCUGUGAAGGGUCUGGAGGACAAGUCUUAUGUGUAGCGGUUGAGGGAACUGGGAUUGUUUCAUCUGGAGAAGAGGAGGCUCAGGAGAGACCUUAUUGCCCUCUACAGUAACCUGAAAGGAGGUUGUAUUGAGGUAGGGGUUGGCCUUUUUUCCCAGGUAACAGCGAUAGGACUAGAGGGAAUGGCCUGAAGUUGCUCCUGGGGAGGUUCAGGUUGGAUAUUAGGAAAAACUUCUCCAAAAGAAUGGUCAGGUGCUGGAAUAGGCUGCCCAGAGAGGUGGUUGAGUCACCAUCCCUGGAGGUGUUCAAGGAAUGUUUAGAUGUUGUACUAAGGGACGUGGUUUAGUGGGGAAACAUUGGUGAUAGGUGGAUGGUUGGACUAGAUGCUCUUAGAGGUCUUUUCCAACCUUAAUUGAUUCUAUGAUAACAAAUAGUCAAUAUUUUCACAGAUCUGUGGUCAUGUAAAAGUUGAUUAGCUCAUAAAUAUUUGCUAAGCAUAUGGUAGUAGUAACGUAAUAUGAGUUUACAUAGUUCUAAACACACUGCUUGAACUAACAGGUAUAUUUAAAAUACAUUGUAUUUGCAAUGAAGUUUUAGCACACAGAUUGUAAAGUGUGCAUUCUCACUUAUCAGAUGUGGUAGACAGGUAUAAAACUCUAGAAUGAGGAACAUGUUACUUAGGAAAGGGAUACCUGCCAUUUUGGUCCUAUUUUUUUUUUAUCUCUUGGAGCUACAGCCUGAAGAAGAGAACUUAUUCUUUAAGACCUUAUUGUUUGGUGUUAAGAAAGCCUAUGUCAUGUUAUCCUGCCUUCCAGAGAUUUUAUGUAUCACGUUCAUGAGCUAGCUAUAUUCUCACACACACAUUGCUUUGUAUACAAUGCAGUAUUCCUGCAUUACAGGUCAAACUUGCGCUUUAAGAAAUAGAUGCCUAAAGCAAAAUUAUUACAGGAUGUAGGUAUUUAUGUCCAAAACCAAGUUCCAGUAAGAGUUUUCUCAGUUGGCAUUUAAAACUAGAAGCUAGUAGUUUCCAAUAUGUCAAGUGCUCUUUCUUUAAGCUUUUGAAGAACAACUCUAAUCUUAGUGAUGGAUAAUUAAGCUUCUGGUGUAUGCCUAAUUGAAUCUAAUUGAGGUUGGAGACUGUGGGUUUCUCCUCCUAAGUUGUUUGUGGGAUACAAAACAACAUCAGUAUACUAAAAACAGCAGGAUCAUAUGCAGUAGUUGUGGUCACCUUAAAGAGAGGAAGAUGACACAUUCCUACUGAGCAUUAGGACCACAAAGAUGAUCAGAGGGCUGGAGCACCUCCCCUAUGAAGACAGACUGAGGGAGCUGAGCUUGUUCAGCCUGGAGAAAAGAAGGCUGUGCGGUGACCUAAUUGCAACCUUUCAGUACCUAAGGGGAGCCCACAAACAGGGGGGGAGUGAACUCUUUGAAAGGGUAGAUAACAGCAGGACAAGGGGAAAUGGUUUUAAGUUGAGGGAGGGAAGAUCUAGGUUGGAUGUCAGGGGGAAGUUCUUCACUAUGAGAGUGGUGUGGUGCUGGAACAGGCUACCCAGAGAGGUUGUGGAUGCCCCGUCCCUGGAGGUGUUCAAGUCCAGGUUGGAUGAGGCCCUGGGCAGCAUGGUCUAGUAUUUAAUCUGGAGGUUGGUGGUUCUGCCUGUGGUGGGGGGGUUGGAGAUUCAUGAUCUUUGAAGUACCUUCCAACCCUGGUCAUUCUGUGAUUCUGUGUGAUUAGUUUAUUCCAUAGAGUGGGAGAAAUAAGAUGCAGCAUAACCUUCAUUUGCAAAGUUUCAGUUCCACUACCUAGGUAUGAACAACCUGUGGCCUUCAGGCCACAGCUAGUAAUUUGUCUCCACAAGAUCACAAACUUUUAACAUCAUUAUGUGAACUUUAGCAGUAUUUCUUAUGAGUUGAUUGCAUGUAGCUUCAGUGUGAACUGCAUAGGCAACAAUAGAAUGCUGUGGAGAGGAGGGUGCAGUGCAACGUGAACUCUACAUCUUGCAACUGCAACACACACUUGGUUAAAUCAAAACCUAUGCGUAUUACACAUCACAUGUGCUUAUGCCGCUUAGUAAGUAAAAUGCAGUGAUUGCCAAUAAUAAUGUUCAACUUACCUACAUAUGUGCGUGCCUGGAAAAGCAUGUGUCUUUUGUUAUUAAGCAGACAUAUACAAGUUUUCUUAUUUAAUUAUUAAAUAAUUAUGCACACUAUAGGUGCAUUUAUUCAGUUUUUCUCAGAAGUUAUAGAUUUGCCAAAUUGUGUAUGUAUUCAGAGGACAUAUUUUUCCUUUUUCCUGACAGGAACAUAAUAAUUUAAACAUUUUAUGAUAAAUUCUAAAACAGAUAAAAGUAAAGUACAAGACAAAAAACAGUAUAUACAUUUCAAAAUAUUAGAACUAAUAUAUAUGUCAAAAUGAGAAAUAAUUUCAAUAUGUUCUCAUAUAAACCUGGCGUUGUAGUCAUGAAAGGGGAAACAAACAUAAAAUUGUCAAAAAUAACUGAUCUAUGAGAUUUCUGAAUGCAGACUAAUAGUAUAUCGUCUGCUAAUAACAGAAGAAACACAUGGAAUACAGUGUGGGAAUUUUUAAGCCUUAUUACUGGAAGGAUAAAAGUGACAACAACGUCUGUGAUGUCUCCAUCUCAGCACAUUACAAAUACAGUUGCAAUCAGAUAUUCAACACAAAGAAGAAUUUGAUGGUGUCUCUUUACUGGAUUUUAUAACACUUAUCUUACCAGAGAAAAACAUCCCUUGCUUCACAAUCAUACCUUACUCACGUCAUCACUUUUUUGGCAGUACAUACAUUUGUGGGCAACUGUUUUCAAGAAUGAAGCACAGGAAGGGUAAAAUUAGAUCAAAACUCUCUUGAGAACUUGCUUAGAAUUGCACUUACAUCAAACUAGAUACUGCUGCAUUAGUUUCACAAAACCAAAGUCAACUAUCCCACUCAUUUUAUGUUUUUGUUGCCCUUUUUAUGUUUUAGUAAAAAAUAUUAAUAAAUAAGAAGUUUUCAUUUACUAUGUUUAUAUGCAGACCAAGACAAUUAUUCUUCACUUGAUGUGGCCCAUGCAAGCCAAAAAUUUGAACUCUCAUGCAUCAACUCAAGGAUAAAAGAACCAGCUUGUGGAGGAAAAUCACUGAAAUUUCAUGUAUUUGAGGCUAUACAGGAGUCAUGUUCUGUGAAACUUCUGAAAUUUAGUGGAUGGUUGCAGUGGGUUUUCUACUGAGAUUUUAAUACUGGUGACUGGUGUUAUUUGGAAUAUUGUUUUUAUUUUUGGGGAAUACAAAGGGAUUGAGUUGUGAGAAAGUUAUGUGCAUUCCAUUGGCUAGGAGCAGUUUACUAUUUACUAUAUACUAUAGCAAUUAUCUAUGUUAAAGUGUGAAACGUGUAAGCUAUGGCAAACCCUGACUGGUCCCAGGCAGUAAGCCACUUUUAUGGGUGGCAUUACAUGUUAUGUAAUGUCAAAUUAGAGCAGAAAUUUAUUAAAUAUUAAUUUCUUGAAAGAGACUGUAAAUACAGUAAAGGAAGUAUAUUUUAUGGGGGUGGAUGGGGCUUCUUGAAAUAAGUUAUCUAAAAUUAGAUAGUUUAGACCCUCAAGAGGAAAGACAAACAUAGUAAGAUAUGAUAUGUGUUUGUAGAAUAAUUCAAUCAAUGAACAUGAGGUGAACAUUUUAUAUAAUGUCUAGCCAUUAAACUUGAUUUAUUCAAAAAGGGUCCAGUUUCUAAAUUACAUUUAGUUAUACUGGCUUUAAAUUAUUACUUUUUUUUUUAUUUUCUGCACUUACAUUGUUGUUACAUAUAGAAGAAAGACAAAAAAGAUACUUAUGAAACAUGAAUGCUUGGAAAAUGUGACUGAAAGGAGAAUGGUAAGAACUGGCCAGCUUUUAAUCCUUAGAGAGGUCUGGAUGACAUGAUGGUCAAGAAAAUCAAGAUUGUUUUGCAGAGUAGAAAUUAUUUUUUACAACGUUACUGAGUGGAGGGACUGCUAGAAUUCUUCUCCAUUGUGUCAAUGACUUCUGGAUACAGCUGUGUAACUACUUGUUUUCAUCACAGAUAAAUGGUCAGACAAUUUAAAUCCAUUUUUAAUCAAGUUUCGUUGCUUAUGGCAGUCAAGAAACAGAACGCAAUUAAUGUAGCCUAGUUUUCUGAAAAGAAAUUCAUGUUUCAUGGAUAUUUUAUUACACUUGUUGAAAUCACAUGAAUAGAGUCAACAGUUAGGUAGUUACACCUCUGAUUUCAGAGCAGAUAUGCACUGUUGGCAAAAAUGAAGAAUAAGCAUGGAAGGGACAGAAAGGUUGACAAGGAAAACCAAUAAAAACAUACAGGAAUAUGAGCAUUAGUGAGAGCAGAGUGUGAGUUAAACAAUGAGGUGUUGAGAUAUGCUUUUGAUGAGAUUUUCAAAAACCCUUCAUGUUGACCUAAUGCUACUUCAACUGAAAUUAAGGGCCAGCAAAAAUUCAGCAGUUUGCGAAACCUAGCACUUAUUUACAAUGUGCAGUAGAAUUCUGCAAAAACUGUCAUUCUGUAUCAAGGCACAUGAUGUGUAAUCAUCUUAUAGUAGGGCCCUUGACUUGGUCAUCAACAGUAAGAGGGAAAUGUCACUGUUGCUUUGCUUUGGCAGUAAUUUCACAAGCGGAUGAGCUCUAUGUGUUUGUUCUUGAAAUUGUUAGAGCAACAGUAGUGUGUGAAAGCAGGCUUCAUUUAGGUGACACAGAUGAGACCUGAGGAGGCUGUGCUAUAAAAUAAGUUUCUUAAAGGACCAAUGCAUCAUGCUCAGUCUUUCCAAGAAGACAGUCUGCUGAUUGUCACAAAACAUUAACAAAUUAUUUUUAUUUUGGCUGGAUUUCUUGUGACUCAACUUCUGCAAGCUUUUCAUUGUUCCUGUGCUGAACACAGGAACUACUGCUGUCUUCAAGGCCAGGAUGUUAGGCUAUAAAUCUUACAAACAGUUUGCUUUGAAUAAAUUUUGGGAUCAGUUUUCUCUUCCCUCCUGCUUGUGCAGUUUUAAUUCUCAAAAAAUUGAGAAUUCAGAACAUUCUUUUUCUUUCUGUGAAAAUUUCAAUUUUGUGGAAUUAAGUAACAGAAGUACAGCCCUUUUGCCAAUGUCUAGAGAGCUUCUCUGUAUUCUAGGACUGCAUUAUGUGAUUUUGAAGCGACUCUGAAAGUUUUUUUUAGGGGACUUGAGCUGUACCAACUUCUUUUAUUUUCUCCUUUAUCUUCCUUCUUCCCUCCUUCCUCCUAUUUUCCUUUCCUAAUUAACUAAGUGAUAUGAUUGGAACAGGUACAAUGUAAACCUUUACUCUUUGGCUUGCAUCCAAUGGCUAUGACAGAUGUUUUCUAUUCUUAGAAGUGAGAUUUCACCUCAAAUGCCAUCACUAACAAACUGGUGAUUUGCACUUAUAACCAGAAUAGUUUAGCAAAUGCAGCAAAAUAUUUUUGUUGUAAUUCAGUCCUCAUUGCAAAUUAGAAAUGAGGAGAGAGGACUAGGAGACAAGGGUAGACAGGAAAAACUAUGAAAAAAUGAAUGCAACAUUUUAGCCCAUUUAGCCCAUAAAUCAGUUUAAUCCUUUCCUUCUGAGUCCAAAUACUUAUAAUGUUCAUUAUUUUUGCCCUAAUCUUAUUAUAUGUAGUCGAGACUGGAAUUUAAGUCAGGAGGAGAAAAAGUAUGUGUAAAUUGCUUCUUAUUCUAUCCAGAACUACAUGUUGCUGAGGUAGCCAUGGAGAAACAGCAAGCACAGAGACUACCUGGCUACUUUGACUGCCAGAAAUUGCAAUUAACUUUUAAGCUUAGAACCUUAAAUGCAAUCUGUGUCAGGCUAAGUCUUCCUGAAGAGUGAAGAUAAACUUUAGAGUCAAAUAAUAAAAAUAUGUGAUUCAAAAUGAGUCACAAAUUUGGACUUUGUGACUGGAUCGGUUGCAGGGGAAACAUCAUGCACCAGAGAAAGCCUCUGAAAUCAGAAGAAAAAAAAAAAGAUCUAGGUAAGAACACGCAGUUUAGAGAUACACUUAACCAGUGGGUUAUAACAGUUUGUGCAAACAUAUUUUAAAUAUCCUGAAUACAAAAUCAAGCUCUUGGUAGUUUCCAAAAUAAUCAAAAAUACAAUUUUCCUAUUGGAUAGUAACUGUUUUUCAGCUGUUAUUUCAUAUUGCUUAUUAAAAAUAUUGUUCAGCAUAUGUUUAUCCUUUCAGAACAGUGGUAUUUCUGUUCUCUGUUGCUUUCGCCUUACUAAUAUUGUGUCUUUUUCUGCAUUCUUUCCUCUUCAGUUUCACUACUACAGCAGAAUUUAUUUUCAGCUGCUACAAGCUUCACACUUAAUUAUAGUCUUAUUUAUCCUGCUAAAAUAAUUAGCACCAGAAUAGCUGCACUAAAGUGGAUACUUUUUGAACACUAUCAUUAGAUUUCAGAGACUGUGCCCACAACUAGGUGUAUGGUCUUUAUUUUCCGACAAGACUUGUUAAGCACAAAAAAAAUUCCUCAGAAAGGUCAUGAUAACUAUGUUUAGAGAUCUCCAAAUGUUAACACGAAAAGGCCUUGAGCAGCCUGAAGCAAUUUUGAAUUUAGCCCUACUUUCAACAAGAGAUUGAACAUUCAGGUUUGCUUUCCAGCUAAAAUAUUGUAUGAGUCUGGUGGGUUUUUUUUGUUUUCAGUCUGGCUAAUUAAAAAAGUUAACUGUUGUUAACAGCAAUCAGAUCAAAAUGUGAAGGUUUGCUCUGCCAAAAUCUACAUAAAAGGAAGCUAAUAGCAUGAAGAACCUGGAAGAGUCAUAUGACUUUUUCACUAAAUCUAAACUGUUGUCCAUUUAUCACCAUGUUUUAGGUUUUUUUUUUCUUGUUUUAUGUCUCUGAAACUGGAAAAUGGCCUCAUAACCUAACAUAUAUUUACAGUACUUUCAAUUCACUUAGAGGACAUGUUUAUUUAGUUGCCAUUAUUUUUAUUACUGAUCUAUUAGUAACUUGUAUUUAAAAUGAGAGAGAAAGAGAGAGAGAAGGAGAAAGAGCAACUUUUCUUCAGAUAUGAAUCUGCAUGGAAAAAAGGUACCAAAUUAUUUGACAAACCAGAGCAAAGAUCAACAGCAAAAUAGAGCAACUUUUUAUCCUUUUGCAUCACAUAGGCACAAUACAUAAGGUUAUACUAUAAAAGAAAUUGCCUGAAGAAUCACCUUGCCUAGAAUAAAAGAAACUGGGAGAAAUCUUACUACAGGUAAGAAGAGCCUAUAUGAAUAAGUUUAUGGUAACUUUCUGAAGUCAGGCAAUUUUUUUUGAUGGUUUUAAAGCAGAUACAUUUAUUCCAAUACAGAAGCCAUAUGGAACAGACCGAUUUAUUACAAGAGCUUGUACUAAUGGCUACAGCUUGGACAUAUUCUGGAUCACUAGGAAAGAAUGCACAAAGAAAAGUUUUGGUAAUACUACAAUCUAUGUUUUGAGAACAAUCAAAUUCACAAUAGAACAACAUGAAGUGAUUAAUGGCCUAAGUAUUUCAAAUAUUCAAUUUGCUUUAUUUUUCCAUCUUUUUACCCAGUAGUAAUUUCAUGCUCGUUUUUAGUAGGCAGGGUAUUUUCUUGUAAGUGUGAACAUUAAGGUCGUAUUUAUAAGCAUGGAGAGUUCUUAUUACCAAGAUUUUUUUUUUUUUUGAAAGUAAUUUUGAAAACCAUAGCAAGAAUGUGUUUUUGUUUUAUUGUAGGUUUCUGGAGGUGUUUGAAUAACUAUCAGACUGUCUUGUAUUCUCUUGUAUUCAGUUCAGGGAGAGUCACUUUUAGAAAAUACCUUGAGUACUGAUUUUUGGGUUGGGCAUGAGUCUAUUACUGAGAGUUUAGUCACCACUUUAUGAUAUUAUGCUAACUCAUUCUUUCUUGCACAUGUACAUCUGUGGAUGAGUAAGCAAAUUGUUUUCUUAAUCAUAAAAGUAAAAUAUUGCUACAGGUCUCAUUUUUAAAACGAGGCUACAGAUGCUAUUACCUUUUAGCAAACAACUUGUUGACAGUUCCUUGAUACCUGUCCCAUCACAGAUGUGAUGAUGAACUCACUUCCACCAAGCUACUGUGAAGGGUGGGCAUGCAGUUUGGAAGCCUGGCCUGCUCUGUGUUGCCAGGAGACUAAGGUAUCAAAUCAUAUUUUGGAUGCAUUUGUUCGGCCAAAUGGACUAACGUGGUUGGAUGCAUUCAAUAAUGCUGAUACUGCUUUUAAACGUUCCCUGAUGCUGAAAACACUACAGUGGGAGGUAGGCAUUAACUAUAUUAGGUAAAUAAAUAAUAAUUUUAAAAGUACAAAUAUAGAUGGAGAAAAAUGAGUACGUGUGUAUGGAAGAGUGCAGAAGCUGACAGGAAGGUUAUGUAAGGAGAAAAGUACUGACCUGUAAUGCUGUAUACUUUUGUAUUUGCAUGUGGAAACACGGGAGUGGGGAGCAUGUGACAUAAUAGGCUGUUUUAUUGAAAAGUAAUGAGCACAGAUACACAUAUCAGAGGGGAAAGAGGUCUGACGUAUUGAAUGAAAAGUACUGAAAGGUUGAUAAUGGUAUUUCUCCUUGAUUUCUCCUAGUUGUUAUUCUACAUUCUGCUCUUCAAUUGUUUAAUGAAAAUACAAAAUAAUUAGUUGAAAUAAUCCUUUAUUUGAAGGACUAAAGAGCACUUUAUUUUUAACAUGCCUGUAAAAAUACAGUUGAUAUCCUUCAGAAAUGAUUCAUUUUUACUGGAUUAAUGCCAGUAACUGAAAUUAUUAGUGGCAUAGGAUGAAAGGGAAAAAAAAAAAGUAGUAGUAGUUUGGAUAAAUCAUUCUUUGGAUACAGUACUCUUUCAUCUGUAGGUAUCCAGCAAAUUCACUUUCUGCUAAUCUGUCAGAGGUUGCAAAAGGAGCAGGAAAUAUUUCUGAAAGAAUAUUAACCAAUAAAAACAUUAGCUCUGUGUCUUGCAGCUUCUAUUUAUACUAAUGAAUUGAUAGUCAGAUAGUACAUUGGAGUUUGUAAAAUGUUCCCAUUAUUUUUAAAUGAGAAACUGGUGAUUAGUCAUUCAAAUAAAUUGUAAUUAAAUGGGAACAUUAUGGUUAUAUUAUGCUAAUGAUAGAAGUGUGUAUUAAAUGUUUGCAAGUUAUUCAAGAGAAUGUAUUAGGUAAUUAGAAAAAAAAAUAGAGUUUGUUCACUCUGAAGCUAUCAAAUAACUUGAUUUGCAUUAACAAUUUUAAAGCUCAGUAGUCUCAUUCAUAAUAAAUUGCUGCUAAGUAGGAGAUAUUCCACCAAACUGAGGUUUAGGAAAGAAAAAAGAAAGAGCAGACUAUCACCCUGAUGUUUUAAGGGUAUGUUUUAAGAUUAUGUAUAACAUAAUUUCUAAAGUAGUCUUUAGAGGCCAAGUGAUUUUGACUUUUAUGGUAAGUUAUUCAUUAACGCUACAGCAUCAUUUCAUAGCUGUUAUGCAAUUCAGUGAUCUCCUCUGAGAGAUGCUGGGAGGCCACGAUAAACACGAAUCGUUAAGUUUUCUACUUUGAAAUGUAUGAGAAAUUUUAUGUGUAAAUGGCUCAGUCGAGGUUCUUGUGGGUGUAUUACAAAGAACAGAAUUGAAUAUAUAAAGCAAUUAUUUAAAAAAUGAAUAAAAGUAUCAAUGGAUGGUUUUAAAAGUAAAAGAAAAAUGGUGAUGUGAAUUCCAUAUAACAUUUUUAAACCAUAAAAGAAGUAAAAUAGAAAGAAAAUACAGUGUUUUGUGAAAAUGAUUUUUAUUAUUUUGAGGGAAACGGCGGUAAAUAGCAAAGCAAAUUAUGCCAGAAAAUAUGUGUUUUUAAUGAUAUUCAAAGUGAGAAUAUGACACAAACAGGAAUUCUGCAGUAAGACCAAAAUUUGAUUUUAUGCACUAUUUGUUUAUUUUAGAUUCUUUUUUUCUAAUCCAUGAUUAAAUACACUCUGAGAAGAAAAGCAUGGGUGUCCUGCAUGUGUGCUGAAACUCCUACAGGCUGCAUUUAAUGUAACUGUUGGUCUUUUUCUCAAAAUUCUUUUGAAAUCAACUAUUAACUAUCUUUUUUUAACAUUUCACAGAUGUGAAGAAACAGAAAUAAACUGUUUAUCAGAGAGGUAAUUAUAUACUUACAGUAGGAAAGUUCUUGCCAGAUUUUCCUUAAUCAUAAAACUCCAUAUCAGUUUAAAAUACAGUUCAUUUCUUGCAUGCACCCCUAGCUUUUGUGUGUACAAAAGGUCUGACAAAUGAUGGCAUCUUGAAGAAAAGUGCUGUUGGAAUGUUAUUGAAAAGAAUGAGCCUUAGAUUUGCAACACUUCCUAGGAGACAUGAAUUGUAAUAUCAUUUGGAAACUUUAUUUAUUUAUUUAUUACUUCUUACUGAAACUUCACAAACUGUAUUUCAGGGCUCAUUGCUCUCUUCUUGUCUGCUAGUUGUCACAUGUUAGUAAUGUUGUGUGCUAGGAGUUAGUGGAAAUGAGGUCAUCUUGUUCUAAAUUAAAGAUGCAGUAAUUGUGUAGGAUAAUGUCUCACCAAGGAAAAUGGCUUUGUUGAGUGUUAUUUUUCAAAAGUUUAAAACCUUAUUCAUGAGCAUCAGCUGACGUAUUUUGCUGAUGACAGUUCUCUUAGGAAAACAGAAUUAGAUACAAUGUUAGUGUUACUAUCAAACUCAAUAAUAUUGUGGUUGGUAGCCUGAAAACCAUUCAAGUCAAUAGAAAUUUGGUAAUUCUACUUAAGCUUAGAACAUAUCCCAUGGAAGACUAAGUAAAGAUACUGGGUGGACUCUAUAGUAUCACAGUGCUGGAGUUUUCUGUGGUAGCUGUUCCAGUGGAUUGACUUCUUUAUUAUGCUGUGUUUGAACUAAUCUGAAAUUGAUAUAUUUAAUGAACCAAAUUAGUCCUAACUGUUUGCUUGGGAAUAAUAAUUAAAAUCACUAAAACAUUAAUUUACAUCUUGGGGGAUUUUGUUCUACAAAUAGAGCUAAGUAGAAAUACUUUCCAUUAAUCAUAUUGAGGUGAAAUAAAGUACUCUCAAAAUCUUUAUAGAACACAGGAGAUCCUGACUAUUCUCUAUACUGCCUGAAUAAAAUAAUGGAUAGGGAUGAGUUUCUUACUCUCCCAUCAAAUGCUGUAGUAACCAGGAGCCACUAGCUUCUUUUUUUUCUGUUAGACUUAUAGAAUGGAUAUAUUAAUUUGUGUAGUGUUUUAUAUCUGGGUCUAUUCUAGCAGUUCCCCAUGCCAAUAGCUUAACAUCAAAUUUUCUUCAUAUAACAUAAGUAUUUAAAUAUUUAUAUAAGCAGAAACAUUUUAAAUGUAAGAAUUUAAUCACCAUAGCAUGUCACUCUAGUAUAUAUAUAUGUAAAUAUAUCUCAAUCUACUGUCAUUUAACUUGAGCAAAAUAUCUGUUCUAUUGGUUUUAUUUACAUAUUAUACUGUAGAUGUGAAAACAGUGUAAUACAAUUUAACUGGAAACUGGAAUGUUUUGCAGCCUACUCAUAAUCCAGCGUGUGAUUAUUUCCAAUUAGAUAUUUAGUAGUGUAACCCACGGUUUGAGAGAGAUGAAAAAUGAAAAAAAUGUAAAGAACUGGAAGUAGGUGAAUUCAGAUCUUAAUGUUUAAAAUUGACUAAUGACAAAGUCAUCUCACCUCAGCCAUUUUGUUUGAACAGAGAGGUGUUUAUUAUUGGGAGGUUAUGCAUCUGCAGCUGGCUUCUCUGAAAAAUGUAAUCAAUCUAUAUCCAUAACUUCAAGACUACAAAACUCUUGUUGCCAAGGAGAAAAUUUCAUGCUGAAAAAGUUCUUUUUCUCCUCUGUAAAACAAAGUGUAUUACUGACAUGAGAGAUGCAAACUUCUCUUCUGAAUUCUGUUUGUUUGCUAUGCUUUUCCAGACUAAACAACAAUCUAGUUUUAGUCGUGGUACCUAUGUAUAAAUACACAACCAUCUUCUGAGCAAUACUGCACACAGAUGCUGUACGCACGUUCCUCAGGAUUGUCUUGUACCAACCACUGUGCUUCACUUCUGUGUCUGGAGAGCAACUGACAUAAUGGUGAGAGGAUAUAGAUUGACUUUAUAUAUUUAUGUAGCGCUCUUCAGUUAUGUGUGCAACCAGUGUUUAUUAGUUAUAAACAGAUGUUAGGCAUUAUCUUUCAUGGGAGGCAGAUUUUAGUAACAUCUUAAUUCAUUAGCAAUGAUAAUGACCCAAGGCGUUUGACCAAAUCUAUAAGAGAGAGAUGUUAAAUUGCAUUGCAUCUAGUGACAUAAAUGAUUUAUUAAGUUCAGCACUAUAAAUAAUGUAGUAUCUGAAAAUGAAAUAUACCGUAUGGUCACAAGUGUGAAGUGAUUGGUUUUUAUCAUAAUCCUUUUAGUGUUUCAAAAAGUCAUGGAGUAUCUAUGAGCAAGACAACCCACAGUGUAGUGAAAUGACUAUCAAAGGGACUGACUUGCAGUGAUGUUUAUGUCUCUGAGCCCUUCAUGAUGUCUUGAAAAUUUUGAGGUCCAUUCCCAGCCCUGCUACAUUAUAUCUUUAGUCUGUGUUUAUGAUGUAUGAUAAGAUCCUCCAUACAAUUUGAGAAGGUUAAUGUGAAGAUUAAUUAAUUCUUGGUAAGUGGUGUUGUGAAAAUGCAAAAUGAUACAAUUAAGAGCUAUAUGUAUCUUACUCAGUGUUCAAUACUAUUUCUUCUCCCCAGAUAACUACUUCUUCCUCAGCUGGAGAGUCUGUCACCUCUUUCCACAUCUGUUCUUUGCUAAUGAACUUGCGUGGAAAACAUAGAUCCUUAAACUGAAAAUUUGUGUGUGCUGUAACUAGCCUACAGUGCAAUAUGUGAGAUUUAUUAUUCAGAUACAAUAAUACUGAACUGUCUUGUACUCUGCCAAACAGCCUCAGAGACUACAUAUAUAUUAGUGUGCUUGUUAUCAUUAUUCAAGCACAGCAGGUUUUUGGUUCAGUGGCUUAGAAGCUUUUUAAUGCUUGAAGACUUCUAAUAGAACAUUUGAGAAACUUUUCCUGUUAACUUCCACAAGAUUCAGCUGAUUGACAUCUCCACAGAAAUCCCAUGCAAUUCUGCCACUGUUUUAUGGAAUGUUUUAUGGUUCAUACACCGAAUCAAUAUUCUCUGCAUCUGAUCUUUAAUACUGUAUUAUCAAAACAGAGAAUACAUUUGAAACUUUAUCUCUUUCUAUCUUUAUUAUAGAAAAUUACUUUGGCAGAGUGAAAAAUAUAUAUGUGUAUUAAGGGUUAAUUAAGUCUCAUUCUGAAAGAAGGUGCUAAUUAUUUUGUUGUUUCCAAAUUGCUCUUCUGGAACAUUUACAAAUUAUCUUUGCUCACUUAUAUAUUUCUCCUUAAGAGAUUUCAAAAUCUUUAGACUGUAUUAUAUGCAUCCUCUUAUGUAGAUCUGUUGAGCUACUCUCUGUUUUGUGCUACUAAAAUGAGAUGCUCCUUAAGAUAAGCUGUUAUAGUAUCCUGCUCUAUGCCUGUGCUGGAGAGUGGAAAUUUCCAUUCCGAGAGUCUCAUUAUGUCUGAAUUUGAUGUGAAAGAAAAUACUGAAUAAUUUCUUUUUAAGGCAGUCUUUUAGCUUGGUAUAUUAAAUAUGUUGAACUGUUUUCAGGUACCAAAAAUUAAUUCUUCUUAUCAUUUCUGUUUUAUUUGCACCUUACUGUGCUUUUACUACUUUGUUUGCUCUGUCUUCAUAUGCCACACUUCCUGAAAAGUUUUAUAUGUGAUUUACAUAGAACAUGCAUAAUACAUGUAGUACUGUUUGUACACUAUUAAAAAAAAGGAAUAAUAAUAAACAUAGUGAGAUUAGGUGAGUUUGUUUGCAAAUUUGGAUUCAAGUGACAGAAUUACUUUCUUUAGUUACUACUUGGACUACAUUACCAUGACAUGAAAAUUAUCUGUAUUGUAAAUAUAAAAGAAAAUUCGGUCUUUCUUUUUGAUAAGAGAGUAAUCACGUUGAUAUUUUGGCAUAUUGCCACAGAUUCAUGACCUGCAGUAAUGGAUAGAUGUUGCAAAGUAAUGGCUGUAGAGCAAUAUUUAUGAUAAUUGAUAAUCGUGUUCUUGAUUUCAGAAGUAGGAGUCACUGAACUCUUUUUUUCUUUUUUUCUUUUUUUUUUUUUGCCCAUGUUAUACCAUCUUCUUUUUGCAUAUAUUCAUUUUUUCAGUAGUCUGAAAUUAAUUUUAAUAAGAUUCAUUUUCUUUCAGGGAAGAUGUGGUGGUAUCAUUUUAGCUUCACUUUAUUUUGUACUCUUUUCAAUGGGCUUCUUCAAUGAUUAACUAUUUUCCAGCUUCCACUGCCCUCUGGUUCAUAAUCACUAAUACCUCAUAUGUCUGAAGAUUUACCAUCAUAUCACUAUAAAAACUCAGAGUUCUUCAAGUUCCUCAGGAUUUUGUAAGUUUAUUAAAUGCCAAGCUUGAAUUUUAAUUCAAUAAUUACUAGAAUACAGCAGAAAACCAUGUACAUGAACCAGAAUCAAAUGGAUUCCCACUCUCCGUUAAAGUGGAGCAUAAAGUAAUACAUCGUACAUGUAUUCUAAUGUGUGAUCUAAUGACAACAGCUGUUGGCAAAACGCUAGGCCUUUCAUAUUCAAAAAAAUCUAGUUUCCUGCAUGUAUUACCCAGCAAACCAUUAAUCUAACAAUGUCAUUCUUGGAUCCAAUUUGAAUUUUGCUGUGUGUAUCACAAUUGCUAAUUUUCUUCAUUAGUUUUUUCCUGUUUCCCUGCUGAAAAGCUUUUGAAGUCUGUCCAGAUUAAACAUUCUACUCUGUCCCCUGAUCUCUUAUUGUCAUUUCUAUGAAGCCAAUUAGAUAUAUCUCGUAUUAUAUUCUCUUCCUAAAUCUGUGCUGAAAAUGUGAGCAUUUUACAUAUAUUUGAGUAUCCUUUUCUUGCAGUAUUUUUAGGUCUAAUGCUAUUUAAAAAAAAAAAAACCUCAUAUUUUAUUUCCUUUUCUUAUAAUGGCACUAUGAUAAGUUCUGCUGGUCAGCUGAGGGGAAAAAAAAAUUUCAACCAACCAACCAAAACCCACAAAAAUUUAAGAUUUUGGAGAAAUACCUAGUCUCAGGAAAACAUUAUUCUGUCACUAUAAACCACCAGAGUGUCAGCAGCUGUUACCAGUUGAGGGUUUAUGAGAUAAUAUUUUGAAAAUCUUUCACUAAAAGAGAAGGUGCAUUUUGUUGGUUGCUUAUUUUUGUCUUCACUGGUGAUUCUUUUUUUUUGGUUGCAGAGCAUGAGCACCCUGUCGACAACUAAGAAAGUCUCCUACUGCAUAUGUGUACUACCAAAGAUGAUGCUUAACAUAGAGAAGAACAUGCAUCAGUAAGUGUAGAAAAGUCACAACUGAGUAAGUAGUUUUCCUGUCCUAUAAACACUUUUUUCCUGAAAAACACCAUAUAAAUUUGUAAGUGCAUGUGAUAACUAACAUUAUCUCACAUUUACUUGAUGCAAUUGUUGCUUUUCACACUUGCUAGAAACAACUACUUUGUUUUGUUGCUAGUAAAACUGUGGGAGCUCUACCUCAGGGACAGAUAAAGUACUGGGUGAAGUUUUGCAGGAAUAAAGGUAUAUUUUGAUUAGUUACAUAGAAAGAUCUAGGUUUGCCCUAGAAAUCAAUGGGAUGUAGCUUGCAUUUUUAUUAGCUUGCUUGCUGGCAACUUCUUCCUGUCUGUAUGGAUAUUCCCCCACAGGCUGUGUUUGAAUUCACAGAAGGCUGUGAAAGGCCUUGAAGAAGCUGCUACUCUGCUGUAAGAGAGCAUUUGUGUAAAUACUCUUGACUGAGGCAGACGUCUAGAUCGGGCCCUGGUUUCCCCUCUAUUUCCACAGCAGAGGAUUUUAAACCAGCAUUCAAAGGAACUUUCUGUCUACGUGAUAGCUCAGCUAUCACAUAUCUAGAACUGCAAAAUUCAAUACUCUGCUUUCCUGUUCAUUCCUUAUUAUGUUGCUGAGAGUAUUAGUUAGCUUUAGUCGUAAAGUGGCUUUAAGGUUGGACUAUGAAAAGACACCAUAAACUGCAUCCAUAUCAGACAGAGCCAGCUUGCAAUUGUUUACAAAAGGGACCUGCUGCUGGCCAGAGCUGAGCCAAUAAGCAAUGCCAGUGGUACCUCUGUAAGAUCAGGUUUAAAGAAAGGUACAAUGUACCGUGUAGCUUUGUGAGAGAAGAGUGAGAAAAAUGUGAUAGAAACAGCCCCACAGACACAAAGGUCAGUGAAGAACUGGGAAGAGGGUUGGAGCACAGAUUCCUCUACAGAAUACCAAGGUAAAGCAGAUUGUCCCUUGGUAUCUCAUGGAAGAGUACCUGGAGGAGCAGGUGGUUGUGUCCUUAAGGAAACUGCAGUCCAUGAGGAACCCACACAGGGGAAAGUUUUCUGUCAGGAACUGAAUGUCCCAUGAGGUCCACACCAGCGCAGUCUGUUCCUGGUGAAACGUAACUUGUGGAAACAACAAAUGCUGGAGCAGUUCAUAAGGAAUUGCAUCCAAUGGGAGAGACUACAAGCCCCAUUUUCCAUUGCCCAUGCCACUCAGAGGACAAGGAAGUAGAUCAGUAGGGAAUGAAAGAAUGAAGUUGAACCAUCAAAUAAGGGGGCUAUGGGAAAGGUGUUUUGGUUGUGAUUGUUUGUUGUUUAUCUCAAUAUCCUAAAAAUAGAUUUAAUUGGUAAAUUAAUUUUUUAUUCCCUAAGUUGAAUCUGUUUUGCUCUUCACAAUAAUUGGCGAGUGAUCUCCGUGUUCUUACUUCCUGGAGAAAACAGAAUGGGGAUCUUAUCAACACUUAUAAAUAUCUUAAAAGGCAGCUGUCAAGUGCAUGGGGCAGGCUCUUUUCAGUGGUGCCCAGCAACAGAAUAAGGGGCAACAAACAGAAACUGGAACACAGGAAGUUUCAUCUGAACAUGAGGAAAAACUUCUUUACUGUGAAGAUUACAAAGCACUGGAACAGACUGCCCAGAGAGGUUGCAGACUUGCUUCUGGAGAUAUUCAAAACCCACCUGAAUGCUUUCCUCUGCAACACGUUGUGGGGAACCUGCUUUAGCAGGGUGUUGGACUAGGUAAUCUCCAGAGGUCUUUUCCAGCCCCUACCAUUCUGUGAUUCUGUAAUUUGACCAAUGAGAUUAUUUGUUCUGUCUGUCCUACUGAAGAGGGGGAGGGAGUGAGCACCUGGCUCCAUGCCAUGGCUAACUCAACACACUGAAGCAGAAUUAUAAUGGCAGGUGCACUCUUUUAUUAAACAGUUACUUAUUUUUGUACAAAAAUAUGAUGCACUUGCAUUGUACUUCCACUAUAGCCUAAAGGUACUAAUUUGCAUUUAUAUAUUCUGGAAAAAAAAAAAAUUGAUAACUGAUUGUAUUGUCUGACUGUAACCGAAUUGAAAUUCUUGAUCAGUGAGAGGAUUACUUUAUUUUCUGAAGUUUCUGCUUGAUUUUUUUUUUUGCAAUGUAGAAAUCUCUCAUCUCUAAUUGAUGUCUGAUUUCUUUUCUAUAAAUGUCUUCUGCUCAAAAGUCUUCAUUGCAGGCUUUCUGUAAAUUGUGUGCAUUGAUUGUGAAGUUCUUGUCCUUAUUUCCAAAGCCCUGAGUGGCUAUGGUAUUGGACUAAUUUUCUCUUCUGCAUUUUCUAAGCUGUUAAUUACAGUCUGAAUCAUAAGGUUACUUUUUUUUCUGUACUGUAAUUUGGUGAGCUGUGAGUCAUGAAGUUUUUGUAGCUCUGUCCUUUCAACGAUAUUGCAGGAUCCUUUCCUGCUGCCCACUUGGUGUCCUUAUUUAAAAAUAACAUUGAAGAAAGAAGCUUUUGCUUCUACUUUUAACUUGCUAGUUAGUUGUACUUGUUCAGUGCUUCAAGACUUUUUUUUUUGUUAAGGAUAAUAUGCUAGGUUAGUGAGUUCCCCAAGGUACUAGCUGAAAUACAAAUGGUUAUUAAUAAUAUGUAUGUAGUAAUAAACUGAAAAUGGCUCACUAAAAUGUUUUCUGGGCAGAUUUUCAGGUAGAAUAUUGUGCAGUAAAAUAACAAUUCCUUUUAUUUACGGUUAUUACUGUGAUUUUACUAGUAUAUUUUUAUACAAUUAAUGCAAAGUAAAUGACAUGUGUAUGUGAAGGAAAUUGAUUCCUCAUAGCCUAUGCACUUAUCUCUCUUUGACUGCAAAAUUGGGUUUGAUUAUUGUGUUUAAGAUAAGAAAAUGUUGUUUGUUUGUUUUCUUUUUAAAGUCAUAUCUCAUUGACAUAUCCAAAUAUUUAAAAUUUUGUCAUUACUUUUUACUCAGAAAAAUAUUGGAAUAUUUCCCAUUGCUAGAGAGUCAUUCAGACAAAUGUGAGAGUUUUGAGUAGCAAUUGCCACAGAUAGCUGAGUUCCAUGUAUUUGAUUUUUUCCCCCACUAGAAGAGGAAAUAUGAUUGAUUACUACUAGAGAAUGAAGCAGAGGGACUGGCUGAUUUAUGUGAAAGACUUCUGAUUAAAAAUACACAUAAACCUAAAACUCCUCAAAAUAGAUUUCAUAACUCAUAAUUCAAAUUACCCUUUUCUUCUAAGACUGACAGAAAAAAAUAUUUGAUUUUAACCACUUGGGAGGAGAAUUCUUUUGUGGAGUUUUCUUCUUUAAUUUUUUAUAUUUCUAUUCUGUAUGUUCUCAAGCCAUGUAUUAGUUGUAGGAACAGUGAACUAUUGUUAUAGAAUUCCUCAUGUUGGAAAAGACAUUUAAGGUUAUAUUAAACAAACAAAGCAAAACAAUUAAUGAUGUGAGACUCAUGAAAAAUGUGAUAAUUGGCAGCAGUGGAACACAGAAACCAGGACACAUACAUUUCUAUCGUGUCAUAAUAGUCCCCUGCACCCUUCUUUCAUUAUUUUAAGCCUCAGCGUAGGAACCCUCAUAUUUCACUUGACUAACAUUUUCUUCUCUAAAAGAUGUUUCUGUUCCUCUUGAACAGCUUUGACAUUUCCAUUAUUAGCAACAGGCCUCUGCAACUGGUGAAGUGAGAUGCUGGGGGCUAGAGGUGGACUGUGCUUCUUUCGCAGGAAGUUCUGCUGGGUUUGUCUAGGGGCAGAGGCAUAUAAACGAUUCAUCAGAGGUUAAAAAGGUUGCUUGGGUCAGCUGACCCACAGUAAAUAUGCAUCUUAGCUCAGGGCAAAAGUAAAAUAGUUCGACUUUCUUUAAGGAAAGCAAACUUGGUAAACCAUACGUACUUGUAUGGAUACACCACACACUGGCCAACAAUUUGUGUGGACUACUGCACAUGUUUGAAUUGUUCAGCUGUGUAAAAUCAUUUGUCUGUUUGGAUUUUCUGUCUUGCAUUUUCCUCCCAAAGGGACCGUGUGUAGAAACCCUCCAAGGAGCUAUUUCUGUGCUCUGAUUUAUAUUGCAUAAUUAUACACAAUGUUGGGAAUAUUUGAUAGCUGCUGGAACAGCUCUGUUGAUCUGAGUACAUGAGUCUCACUUCUGGCAGCAGUGCCUCCUCUGUACCAGUGACUCUUCUCACAUGGCAGCUCUGCCCAUCUUGUAGUAUCACACUUCUGCUCCUGCCAACUGGCAUGAAUGGUCUUGUGUCUCAUGCUGAAUACUUAGCACUCAGACCCUUCGUGUGCACAUAGUAGAUAUUGGGGCUAAAAUCUGUGAAGAUGAUAUUCUUAUGGCUGCAUGGUUUUCUUUCAACUGUUUCAGUCUCCCUUUUGAAACUACAUUUUUGCAGCUCUCAUUCUAUUUGUUUCUUAUGUGAAAUUCAAAAGAAGUUAUCUUGGGGCCUCAGUUGCCUACACAUCACCUUGUUUAGUUUCAGAAAUGUUCUCUCUUUCAAAAAAAUAAUUUAUGAUUCAAAAGGUGGCUUCUUAGUCAAAGGUCACACUACUCUGUCCAAAAAAAAAAAAAAAAAAAAAAAAUCUAUAGGUUACAGUGUCUGGAAUCAAUCACUGAAGAAUCCAAGAAUCCAUCUCUCUUUGCAUGGCCAAACUGAUCUCUCUUUUGUUGGUUUAGCAGCACGUGGAGUCUAAUAUAUAUAAUAUAUAUCUUCCCAGUUUGGGAGCUCAAUCUUGCACAGUUUGGGCUGUCAGAAUCUGUUGUGUGAAGAUGUCAUAUACCUUACUUGUGGGAGAGUAUUGUAUGUAUUUGAGAAUUGCUGGAAAUUUACAUCCCUCAGAAAAAGAAAUCUGCUGCUUGAGGAACUUGGGAAGAAGGCAGAGGAAAGGAAUAUCUCUGGUAACGUUCUCUGGAAAGAUCAUAAUACUCUACGCAGGAGCAAUGAGAGAGGCAAGGUAAAGCAGAGUUUCUAUACCUGAGAAGAUGAUAUAAGAAAACAAGCUGCAGGUUCACCCAGGGGCAGCCCUUAGCUCUGGUAUAAGGAGAAACUGUAUGGUUUUCACCAGAGCCUAAAGGAAACCAUGUAUCCAAAAAAGGAACAAAUUGGUUCUAUGCAGGACAGAAAACCUUUGGAGUCAAUAGCAGGCAGCAUGAAUGUCUAGCUGUAAAUGUAGACACUGAUUUAUCAGAGAUAUAGUGGAAAGAAGAGAGUUAGCAGGGUACUUUACUAACAGGAAAGAAAACAUAUAUGAAAGGUGAACAGAGAUGUAUUUCAUGUUAGAGACACUUGACAAUCUAGCUGCAUUAAUGCCUCAGUGCACAGCACAAAAUUCAAGCUAGAGUUAAAUCCUACUUUCAGCACAAAAGGAGCAAAAAUCCUUCCAGAGAUCAUGUCAGCUGAGGACCUAACUAAAGAAAAGAGUACUUGGAGAGGUCGCUGUAGUUAUAUUAAAACAAUUUUGCUGGUCUCUGUUUCAGGUAGGAAAAUGGAAAGUCUUCUGUACCAGAACCUUUACUAGAAUCUUUUUUUUUUUUUUUUUUUUUUUUUUUUUUUAGAGAAGAAAAAGGAUCAAUAACAAUCUUCUACAGAAAAUGUGUUAGUAGUUGUUCACAAACAUGGAAAAUUGUGUCUAAAAAUCAUCAGGAUUGGAUGGUAUUCAGCCAAGAACUUUAAGGCAACUUGAGGACAAAACAUCUAAAUUACUGGCUACAUAUAGUUAAUGGCAAGGAUAAAUAACUGUGUGCAACCUUUUGCCUAAGUAUUCUUUGAAAGCAGGUUUCUAGAGGGUGGUAAGUAUAAUUCUAAUUUGGAAACUUCAGGCCUGCAAGCCUAAUGUCUGUAUAGUAGAAGACAAUUCAUGGAUACCUGAGUAAACAUAAGCUGCUUUGGUAAAGUCUUCUGAAAAGUAAGGAUCAUCUUUAGAACUUCUAAUAUUUUUUUUCAGGAAGUCAAUGAGCUUGUAGCUAGUGAUGAUCUGUUUGACAUGAUUUUGGUUUUUGAAAAAAAGCUUUGACAAAUUCCUAACGUUAAGCUUGUAAUGUACUUAAGUGGCCAUGGCACAGGAGGGGAAAAAAUUGGCAUAGAUUAGGAAGAAAGUGAAAAAUAGUAAACAGAUUUUUUUAAUAGUGUUUUUGUUUGUUUUGUUAGAUAAAAAUUGCUGGUGGUGGGAGGGCUCUGUGCUAGGGUAAAUGUAUUCACAGAUCACUAGAAAAGUAAGUUAGCAGUAAAAUGACAAAAUGUGAUGAUGGUACUAGGUUUUUCAGGGUAGGUAGGAUGAGAACUGGAACUGAAAAAUUGCCAGAAGAUAUUAGGAAACAGCAUGACUGGACAACAAAAUGGCAGGUCAAAUGCAUUGUAGAUCUAUAUUAAUGCACACCCAGAGAACGAACUCUGUCUUCAUAGGGAAAGACUCUGUGCUGGUCACCAUUACUAGGGAGUGAUACCUGAGAUCUCUGCUAAAAAGAAUUUUCUGACUAGUAUUUAUCUUCGUUAUGUAUUCCCAAAAGAUGUUGCAGAGAUGCAAAACUUUGUGUAGCCUCAAAGGAGUGAUUGAACAAAUACUUAGAAUGAAUGUUUAUUGUUGAUUACUAAACAGACAAACUGCAACAUGCUCAGGAAAUCUCCUGAACCAUAACUGAUCAGAGGACAGGAAAGCAACAGACCAAAAAUUACAAAGAUUUGCUCUGUUGUUACUCUUCUCUAAAAGAGUAGUUAUUCUGUAGUAUUCUUGCUCAUAGCUACUAUCAGAGAUGAAAUAGUCUAGACAGACCCUUGUUUUCAUCCUGUAGGGCUACUCUUUUUAUGUGUUUGUUGUUGUUGUUUGUUUUGUUUUGUUUUGUUUUUAACUUUUGGAAGAUUCUUAGAGUACAUCAAGACAUUGAUGUAACAAUGACAUAGAGACACAAGACAUCUUUACCUUGUCCUGCUGUUUUGGCCCUAGAUGAAGAGAUUAUAGCACACAUUAGUGCCAUACUCUCCCAUGCUUGCCAUACUAACAGUUACUUGCACAAACAAGUGGAUGGCACAGAGCUGCCCACAUCAAAUCUGUGCUGCUUUGGAUCUCUCAGAGUUGAUAAAUGCUCGUGGGUAGGUCAUUUCCAAAUAGUACUGGCUGUUUGAUUUUCAUAUUUUGAUUUUCGUAUUUUAUAUGAAAAGUCAGAUAUGUACUCUUAUUUAUAAGCCUCUUGUAUUAAAAUUCAUUUUUAUUUUUCCCACCAACUUUCAGAAGAGAAAGUCUUGAUGCCAAUAGCUCAAAUAUCUGAAAAUCAGGAAAAAUUAGAAAAAGUAGUAGCUGGUUUCUGAAAGCUAUGGGAUUCCAUAUUUAGACUUUUCUUUGUGUGUGUGAAUCUGGUUUCUACCUUAAUUCUAGGGUGGAUAUUACACUUCGUAAAAAAAAAAAAAAAAAAAAAAAAAAGCAGGUACGUUUUUUUCACUGUUUAUUUGAGCUCCAAGGUAAUAAUCUAUAUUAACUGUUUUAUACCUUUGAGUCAGGAAGGCACUCUAUGGUUGACUGUUAUUGAGAUCUUUCAGAUAAGCUGUACAUUUGCACUCAUUAUAAAUUAUUUCACAAGGAGAAUGAGAUCAGGUUUGAAACAGAAUUUCUUACAACCACAUAAUAACUUAUCAGUCUUAUUGACAAGCAUUUUGCAAAACAAUAGUAUUGUGCACAGCUUAUGUAUGAGCAAAUAGAAUUACUGCUAACAUCUUUUAAGGCACUUGUCACACACUUUCCCCUCAGUCAAACACUGUUAGCUCACUAAUCAAUCUGCUUGUCAAAAAUGCUCUUCUUUGGCAGAAGAGACUGAGAAGUUUGACAAACUGCAUUAAGUUGGUGAUGUUGAUUAAUGCUUUUCAGUUAGUAGCAUUUUGUUGAACACUAUAAAUUAAGAAUUUUGAUGACAGCUGGCUUUUCAUAAAUUACAUACAAGAGGAGCUUAUCAUUGCAAUGAAGCAAUUUAUUUUUCCUUUCCAAGAUUUCUUAUGACUGCUUCAUGUGAGUUUCUGUUGCGUAAAUUCUUUAUUUCUUUUCUUUCAACUGUUAAAAUGUAAAUAGCACACUUUGAACUCAGUAAUCCUUGGUGAAAAAGAAAGAAAGAAGAGAAAGAAGCUUGAUUCUGAAGCUGCUGAUUUUUCUUGAUUUUUUUUCAAAGCCAAAGAACUGUAAGGACAAAACUGAAGAGGUAUAAGCCUUUUCAGUAUUUUUGCAUAUCUCAAAUGUUUGUCAUUUUCUGUAAGAGAUUUGCUAAUGCAAGGAACUCACAUACAAGCAAUAGUCCACAGAAGUUUCUUUAGUGAUUAUUCUAUUAAAUUUAGGAGUUUUUAUUGCUUUUGACUUCAUUCAUUUUUUUUUAUCCAGUACCUGAUUUAGUAGUGCCCUGUGGCAGAGGAUUGGAAUUACAUGAUCUCUUACAACCCAAGUCAGCCUUCUUCUACCACUUUCUCUCUGCCGUAUGAUGUGUGAGAGAUGGGGAAUGGGUGCUAUGGUCAGUCCUUACAAGUUCCUCUCUGCUGCUCCUUCCUCCUUAUGCUUUUCCCCAGCUCCAGCAUGGACUUUCAUGGGCUACAAUCCCUCAGAAUAAAUCUGCUUCAGUGUGGCUCCUUCCCACAGGCUGCAGUCCUUCAGGCUAAAUAUGCUCCGUAGUGGGCUGUCUAUGGGCUUUUACUUUCUUUGGAAAAUAUUCACCUGUUCUGGCAUGAGAUUCUCUAUGGGCUGUAGUAUUGAUAUCUGCUCGAUUUAGGGUUUUCUCCUUGGUCUGCAGGGAAAUAAUCUUUAUUUAAAUUUUCUUUAAAUUGCUUUUAUGCUGAUCAAAUUAGGUGAGAACCUGACGUUUUGUUUUUUUUAACAGAAAAACAAACUACUGGUUUCUGUGUGGCUUCAUUCGCAGUCACAGAAAGUGAGUGAUAGUUUAUCUAACUGAAACUACAGGAGGAUUUUAAUUAAGCAGAAUGUAAUGAUUAGAAUUGCAAUUUUGAAAGAAAACUGGGGCUACCACUCCCAACUAAGCAUGUGUUUUGACUAAUGUUAAAAGCUUUGUUUUUCUAACUCAUAUAGAUUUUAAGACAAUUCACUUAUAAAAGGAGAAAGGAGACAAGAAAGAAAGAAAGGCAGUGGGAUGCCAGUGCUUCCUUAGUUUUCCUGAACUCACCCAUGCAGUGGUUUUCCUCCUAAGUACUAAUGAAACCAGAUACUGCUUUACUUCCAAAUGGAACAAUACAAUUAGAAGCCACAUCCAUAAUAGCUUUUGAAACUAUUUUGUUAAUCAGGCACUUCUGCUGCUGAGUCAGCAUGGUAUGCUCACUGUAAAUUCACCACUUACAUAUCCUGAGCAAUGUUUUUAACUUCAGUGUUCAGACUCUGGAAAAGGCUACGGGUGACAGUUCUUCCAUGAAGAAAUGUUUAUGCUGUUGAUAUUUAUUGCUACUUUCUUGUCUUUUCCUUUCUUUUCUUUUUUUUCUCUAGUUGUUAAAUUGUUUUUUUGUUGUUGUUGUUGUUGGUAAAUAUUAUUAUUUGGGAUUUGUAUCUUUAUAUGGAGGAAUGAAAAAAUAAUUAUUUGCUGUGGCAUUUUUAGAAGUAAAUUGAACAUCCUACUGGGAAUAAUGCAAUGUUUUUACUCUAUGCAUUUUGUCACCCUACUAUUUGGAUUUACUUUCAUUCCCACACAGUGUUCCUGGAAUCCCCAAGCAAAAUCUCUAAUGUGUUAGCAUGCUGACCUUUGCUUUGGUUGUAGGCGCAAAUGUUAAUAGAAACAGAAAAAGAGAAGUAAUCGCUUUUAUUUCUCACUCUCUUGUUCAACAAACUAGCAUUUAUAGAAAGAAGAUAUUGUUCAGUUACUAAGUCAACUUGAACACUGAUUUUCCUGAUGUCUGUCAUCUAGGCUACUAACUUUUUAAAGAUGCUUCAUUAGAGAUACUAGACAGGUACCAUUUUCUUAUUUCACAUUGACUAGUUCACAGUAAUGGCUGUGAAGCUAGAUUAAACCCAGCAUUUUAUAGGUAAAAAUCUGGUUUACAGUCAUUAGUUAUAUUACCUCCAGUUCCCUGGAAUUCUGUAGUACUCUCCAACUGCUUUUCAAGUGUAGGGUAAAAUGAAAGGGAAUUAAGAGCAAAUGAUACAUGUAAUUAAGGCCCCAUUGUGAUUACUAUUUUAAUUCUGUGAUGGGGGAAAAUAAUGUAGAUAGCCAAGUCUGAAAAUUAGGUUAUUAAGCUUUCUGUUUAGUUUAGAUUUUUCUCUUUAUUUUUAAUUUAGCUACAAAAAUGUUAUUGUUCUGUUUCUAUUAUUGCCAUUGUUUUUAACUUUCUUCCUUAAUUCAUUCUUAUCCUUCUAAUCUGCCCUAGAGGUGUACCAUUCAUGAUUUUUAUAUUCUGAAAACUACAAAUUGCUGUAAUUUCCUUCACAGUGCUACAUAUUACCCUAGUGAAGUAACCCAAGCUGAGUGCAUUGCUGUAAAGGGUUUUCUUUGAUUUUUUUCUGUGCUCUUUUUAGAGACUUGGCACUGAAGUGGGGAACCAUUCUAAAAAAAAACAAAAAUAAAACCAACUAACCAAACAAAAAAAACCUACAUGGACUACAUGGACCUUGUUUUGAUACCAAGAAUGGCAUUAAUCUUUAUGCAGAUAUAAAUGGAAGUUAGCCAGCAUAUUUCAAUAUACUCUAUGGUUUUGAACUGACGUGGUGUUAGAAACUGAAAUAUAUGACCUAAAGGAUAUUUUUUCAAAACAAGCAGAAGGCCAACAUUUAUGCUAUUCCUGACUACUUGAGACCACCAAAUCCCAUACAGUUAGUCAUGAAUUAGGUGUUCUCUACAGUCUCUGUAGUCUCUCAACAUGAGAGACAAAGAUGGUAAGGCUUCAGCCUUUUCUAGCAGGUCUUCCAUUGUAUUUUUUUAAUGAGUUUGUUUGAAAACAGGAUGAACAGAGUGGAUGAGUUCAGAAAGGGAUAAGAGUAGUGCAUGUCAAAAUGCCUGAGUUUUAUAUGUCAAAGAAUAAAAGAAAGGAAACUUAGGGACAAACCAAGAAAGAAGAUAUAAGAAUUUUAGGUCUAGUAAAGAAAGCAGUGGAGAGAGCUAAACAUAUUUGACCUGGGUGUUGCAGAAGCCCUGUCUCAUUUUGGAAGAGAGCUGAGAGUGAUACAAUACACAAGAAACCUACUGAAACAUUUAAAAUUAGCUAUGAUGAAGAUACUUCUGAAGGCAUCGGUACUAAUGUGCUUGAAUUUCAGAGGCUAUUCUAUAGAGUCUGUCCUAGUUUCAGCUGGGAUGGAAUUGCUUUCUUCAGAGUACUUGGUAUGAUGCUACGUUUUGGUUUUAGGAGAAAAACAGUGUUGAUAACACACUGAUGUUUACUGUUUUUGCUAAGCGGCGCUUAGCUGAGCCGAGACCAUUCACAGCUAAAGGAGGCCCAAGGAGCUGUGAGGGAACAGAAUUAAGACAGCUGACUUAAACUGGUCAAAUGGAUGUUCCAUGCCAUAUGGCAUCAUGCAGAAGGAGUUUUGAAAAGAGUUAGGGUUCUCUUUUCCACUGCUUGGGGGCCUGGUUGGUCAUUGGUUGGGGGGUGGGGAACAAUUCCUUGUGUAACAAUUGUUACAUACAUUCAUAUAUAUAUAUAUAUUUGUUGCAACUAUAAUCCUUUUCUUCUUCUCUAUUUUAGUAAAUAAAAGUUCUACCUUUUUUUUUUUUUUUUUUUUUUUUUUUUCCUGAUUCUCUCCCUUAUCCCACUGGGAAGCUGGGGAGUGAGCAAACGACUGUGUGGUGCUCAUCCACCUGCUGAGUUAAACCACAGUAGAGUCGUUGGCUUUUAACUGUUUUAUGCUAUAGUAGUCUUAAUGAUAUGAUGCAUUCCCUGAGCAGGCAGAAUUUCAUUCAUCUGAGGAGAGCUCCUUGGGAUGUCUCUGAGGUAUUUCAAGGAAGUACUAAUGUUGAAAUGUUGGAUGUGUUCAUUCUGCAUUAUGAUGAAUUUAAUUUUAGUGAACACAGAGGCCUCUGCCCUGUUAAUUUAUAUAUAAAUACAGAAAUUAUAGAAGGGCCCAGAGGAACACAGUGCCACUAAUGCAGAAGUGUGUUAGAUAUUUAAAAUAUGUGCUUCAAUUCCUGCCAGCUGGCCUUUGCACACUAUGUGCACCAAAUAACCCAGUAGCUGUCCCUGUGGAACAUAAUUUCUAAUUUUAAGUUUUAUUGAUUAUUCUUUUGGAACCUGUUACGUAAUUUCUCUAUAGACCCAGACUCCAUAAAAGAAGUCUAUGCAUUCAUUAAUACUCCAAAAAUAUGUAUCAGACACUUUCAUGUUAUACUAAGCCCAAAUGCAGUUUAUGUAAAAGCAUACAUUUAAAACCAAAACUGCGAAAACAUGUAUUCUACUGGAGUACCUACAUUAUUCCUUGAUUGGACAUAUCCUUUAAAUAAGACUUUCCCCCUUUCAUUUAAACUGAAUUCUCAGAGAAUCCAGAAUGAGAUAAAAUAUACUCAGUAAUAAAAAUAAUCAUUCAAGUGUUGAUGCAUGUCAGGAUUCUAUUAUGAUGAGUUAUUAAGGUAUCUUAAUAUGCAGGAUGAGAUUAGUGACUUCAUUCACAAUUGAAUUUUUAGUUGUUGAGGUCAAUAUUGUUAUAUAUGUUGGUUUGGCUUAUUUUCAAGCUUUCGAGUAUGAGAGGAAAUAAUUUUUUCCUAUUUAAAAAAUAAACCUUCCUUCCUUGAUAAUGGAAGGAAGCUUGUAGGCUGAAGAAAUUUCUAGAUGUACCACACAUUAUCUUUUUUUUUUCCAUAAAAAAAAAAAAUAUAAUUUCUCACUGAAACAAUUUAAAGGUCUGAAGAUGUAACUUUCAGAUCAAAUAAAUGUCUCAUAGCAAUUUCCCAAUUUAAUAUGAAAUGGAAAAGUGACCUCCAAGGUUAAAGGAGUAUAUGUAUGGGGUGUUAUAUGGCUCUUAGAAACAGCCAAAAAUCCUCCCAGGAAACAGAUUCCAGAGAAUGCCACAGUCAUUAACUUAGGUAAGAGCUCAAUCCAGAUAGUUUAAGUAGUUUAAUGAGGCCAAAGGGAUUAGAUAACAGAAGUUAUUUUAGUAUUACCAAUCAUCUGUAACUAAAGGUUUCCUCAGAAAAGCUUUAUUGCGUAGGAAAAGGCAGGCCAACAGGUAGGUUAUAUCUCUCUGAAGAAAUCAUGGUGAUAGGAGGAGAAAGAUUCAUCAUGAAUUAUUAUGGUGGUUAAACCAAAUUCUCUCUUUUGACUGCAUACAAAUUAGACAUUUCCAUGGUUUCAAUGGUCCUUUAAGUCCUUAAUAAAUGUUAACAUAAUAAUGAGAUUACAAGUAUGAUUUUAAAAACUGAGUUUUUCCCUUACACUGUUCCAAGUUUUUUGGAGAUGGAUUCAAAUAUUUUGUAUAUUGCCUGUACCCUAAAAUAUCACUUCGAGACUUCAUGCUGUCGUCCACAUUUUAAAAGCAAGGAGUUAUAAUGACAGAUCACUUCCAACUCCUACAGGUUUUGAUUUAAUUUAGACUAAUUUUAUUUGCAAGAACCUGUAAACUCCUAUCCAUUUGUGCAAAUCUGACCGUUUGGCUUAUUUGUGUGUCCAUAUUUUCCUCAGAUUCUGAGCAACAUGCUGCAAGAGUUAUAUUUUGGCAUACAGGAAUUUUAGAUUUGGGGAAAACAUACAACUUCUUAGCAUUGCAUUCACCACAUUCUUUUCUCUACUGCACUUUUGAAGUUAAAAAUAUAUGAAUGAAGUUUUGUAUUUUUUUUCCCUUCUCUCCCUCUUUUCCCUAUGGCAGAUGUGUUAAUCUACCUGUGGAAUCAGAAGUAAAUUUUACAGCAUUUUUCUGAAGGUUCCUCUUGAAGAAGUCUUGUACAGGAGACUAAAGCUUCCACAGGAAGGAUCAUGAAUUUGUUACGUGGUAAUGGAAAUUAUUAUACAUGCUGCAUGGUGAUAUAGAUGUGAAAUGGGUAUUGUGUUAUUUUCUGAAGUCUUAGUGUUUUCCUUCUGUUCCAGUUCUUAGUGAUCCAUUUUGCUCAUCUAGUAGAGCAGUACAGCAUUUAUUAUCUACAUACAAAAGAAGAUGUAGAUUUAGAACUUUAUUCUGUCAAGCAAUUACUACUUUUAUGUUAAAUAGAGCUGUGCAGAAAUAAUGAAUGCUUUUAAAGUGUUAUUAUGGAAGCCCAGUUUGAUAAUGGAAAAGCUGAUUCAGGAUAGUUCAGAUUUGGAAGUCAGUUUGGGUAUGUCUUAUGGUAUGCAUGCAACAGGAGCAUCAGAGUUCUUCCUCCUCACACUGUCCAAUUUAUUUUGUAUUUAUUUCAUGAAUGGAGUGACAAGCAAAGUGAGGAUGCCCCUUUUUCCCUUUUCCCAGUUUUAGCGCGAUACUGCAUUUUCUGCACAGUGUUAUCUAGCUUCAUCUCUCCACUUACUGAGAGAAACCAAAGCUUUUGGCUCUGUUCUUGCUGUUUCUUUGUAAAGAUGUAGUGCUUUUGGUGCAGCAUUUCUUCUUUGAACUGGCAUUUCCCUUCUCCUCCAGGGAAAUGCUGUUGGGCUGACCUAUUCAACUGAUGUACCCAAAUGCUGGCUGAGUGCAUCCCAUAUCAAGUGCUUGACAUUAUUUGGUGACUUGCUCAUUCCCUUUGUGCUACUGGGUCUACUGUGGGAUUCUCAUAUGGAUUUAUAAAGCCAUCAAUUUGUUAGGCCGUGCUAUCUCCCUGGUGAAUCUCUUUCCCAGAUAGCAUUGAUUAUCCAACACUUGGUGUUUUGAGGUUUCUCAAAAUAAAGUUAUAUUUCUUGAAACUUUUCUCAAAACAAGCUGGGUGGAGUUUCACUAUUCACAUAUUCACUACAGAAGAAAUUUCUUCCACACUUUUAACCAUGUAUUUUUUCUUUCUUUUUUUUUCUUCUAAUACUAAAGUCCCAAAGGUGAAGCUUGUGUUGGGUAGAAAAGUGACAUCCUGGUCAAAAUUGGGAAGUUUAACUUAAAGCUUUACCCGUGCAUACAUAAUAAGUUAGUCUUUUUUUUUUUUAAUAGCUUGCAAGCUAUGUUUCAGCAUUACAAAAUUGGCAUUUCAGAAUUGCAAAUGAAAGCAGUCCAGUUGAAAUAUCCAUUACAGAAUGUGGCAUAAUGUAUGGCUUCCAAAAUAAAGAAUAUGAUGUGGAAAAUAUCUUUAUAUAUUCAGGCAUCCUGCAUCACCAACAGGCAUCCAAAGUUGGUCCAGACUGCACCUCUGCUGCCAUCUAUCGCACAGCAACAUCACAUAGUGGAAUAUUUGCCGUGAAGUUCAACUUCUACUGCCUUACCAUCAACAUCCUUCUCUGACAUCAUGAGCCAACAUAAUAAAAUAGCAGGCGUAAGUUUUGCAGUAGCCCUUGUAUAUUGUGAGGAUCAUUAAAUUCCUUUUUCAUUAGAUACGACUUUGCUGUCUUUAACACUAGGAUAAACAUUUUCCAAAAUAGUGCCGCUUUCUUCUUCUAGUUCUUCCUUAAAUUUUUCAUUGCUUCAAAAUUCUUCAGCUAUGUCAGAGGAUACGUUUAUAGGAAGAAUGUAUUGUUCCAGGCAUUUCUGAGACAAAGAAAAUGCUCCUAGCCUUUAGUCUUAAAGGAGUUCUGAUAGCAGAUUCCUAGAUAGAUACAUUGCAGUAUCUAAAGGGCGGGGGCGGGGGUGUUAGAAAGAAGAGGAUAGAUUCUUCAGCAGGGUCUAUGAUGAUAGGACAAGGGGAAAUGGUUUCUAACUAAAAUAGGGGAGAUUUAGAUUGGAUAUAAGAUUUUUUGGGUUUUUUUACAGUAAGGUUGGUGAGGCAGUGCAACAGGUUGCCAAGAGAUAUGGUGAAUGCCCUAUCCCUGGAAACUCUCAAGAUGGGGCUGGAUGGGGCUCUGAGCAACCUGAUCUGGCUGUAGGUGUCUUUGCUUAUUGCAGGACAGUUAGACUAGGUGACUUUUAAAGAUCCCUUCCAACUCAAAUGAUUCUAUGGUUCUAUGAAAACCUUUCCUAUAUCUUUUUUCCCUCAGGGAUAUGAAUGUUGUGUACUUAUAUGUUCUAUGAGUGUUCCCUAACUCCGUUUUUUUUGUAAAGUCUUUUCGUUUUCAUUAGUUUUUAUCUGUAGGUGUAGUAAAAAUAUAUAGUACAAAAGCACAACUGAACAUGCAUAUACGCUGAAAAAAACCCAAAACAUAAACUGUGUUCCCAGCUGAUUAAUAUAGCAGAGUGAAAAGCAUAAAAUGGCACUGAUGCUUAUGAAUGGUGCUGGGAAAAUAAGCUGCAACUGAGCAAUAGCCAUUUCCCGCAAGAUAACAACCUCCUGUUUCCGUGAUGUGAUAAAGUCAGAGUACCUCAUGCUUAUUCUCUGUGUUUUUAUUUUCAUCACAUCAGUACCACCUCGUCUGAAAUUAAUUUAAUCACAGAAGAAAAAAAAAAAAAAAAGACAAGUAAAUAAAAUGAUUUAAAAUUUUUAUAUAAUUAAAGAGAGUGUUAGGAGUUCCAUGGUGAGGUACUUAUCAUAAUAGAUAACCAUCAUUACACCUGCUGUCAUUAUAACAUAUUUUAAGUGUAUAAUCAUAUUUCCUUUAAAAGUCAUGUACUAAUUUUUUAUUUUUUUUUUUACAAACAUAUAGUUGUCAUCUUUCUUAUAUGUAAGACUGAAUUUAUUUUAGUGAGUUCUUAUGUGAACUCUUGCUGAUCAUGUACGAUCAAUGCAAUUUUGGUUUUAUUUUCUAUGCCAGCAUAUUUUUCUUCCACACUUCAAAGAAAUCAUUCUGUGCCUCUGCAGCAGGAUUGGAGAUGAUGAGCCAGUACAGAUAUGGAAAAAUUGAAUUGAAUUUUCAAAGUAUACCUUGAAGAGAAGCACAAUUAUGUGAAGCAAUGCAUUAUUGCAGUUCUAUGAAUGUUCUCGAUGUUGUGUUGUGUGCUCCUCAGAGAGUUUUGAAACUGAUAAGAUCUAAUGAAGAAAUGAAAUUGAAGAACUGUGGACAGGUGGUAAUCACAGGCAUAGUAUUUUGGAAGGAUUACAGAGGUGACCUGUGACUGGAAAGUUAAAUUAGUAGACUGAAAUCCAGGAUAUAUGUAAGGUCUUCAAGAUAAUUAUUUUAAGGAACAAUAAACAUUUUAAAUAAAAGUAAGUUAUACAUUCUGCUUUCAGAGUGCAGAGUAACUAUAAGGACCUAUUGUAUCUUAGAAGCUGAAACCUAUAGCAUUAUGGAUUAUUUGUUUUCUCUGAGACAGGUUAAUUAACAUAUAAGAAAAGGUUAUCCAUUUGAGAGAUGCUCAUAUAUAAUGUUUUUCUUUCUGUAAUCUAAAUGGAGCUGAUUUGAAAAUGAUUAUCUUCAUAAACAGAAGCUCAGACGUACAGUGAAAGGGCAUUCUUGACAAACAGCACCAGUGGUGUUGGCAAAAUCGGAAGAAACUGUGUUUGCUAAUGGACUAAUUCUGCAGAGGCAGCAAAGAGCAGAGAGAACUCACUUUUGUGAACUCAACAAAAUAAAGAAAGGCUUGCAUGGUUUAAAUAACGCUGCAGUGGGUUAAUUAAAAAUAGAUAUGCAAUAUCCAGCCAAUUCCUUGUAUCUAAUUCUCCUCCAAGUUCAAACUAAUGUUGAAAUAAUCAUUUUUUGUAUAAACGUGUUGAUUAAAUGCUGGAACCUAAUUUAUAAGAUAAAGGAGUUAGGAAAAGUUAGCAGUUAAUGAUGGCAAACACUUACUUCAGUGAUAAUCUCUGUUAACAGAGAAGAUACUGUGAAUUUUGAAGAAUUUGACAAGCAAAGUGGGGCUUCAGGUGCCUCCAUUUUUGGUAUCUCACUUCAAUCUCAGGUUUGGGAAUUAAAAAGAAAUAGAUGAAGUUUCAGAAAACUGUGGUGAUAUAAUCACAGGAAUACAAAGUCCAAGAAGGAAUUUCCUUUUUUUUUUUUUUUUUUUUUUUUGUUCGGUGUUAAAAUAUGUGAUAAACUCUAAUUUGUCCUUUAGAAUAUCUAUGCAAUGCUUCUGGAUUCUGAACCUGUGGAUCAGACACCCAUUCAGAUCUGUAUGCAGAAAUGACGUGUGUUCAAACCUUUUGAAGGGAAUUGGAUGGAGCAGGCUGCACCAAGCUAUCAUCUCCAUAGGAAAAAAUAUAUCUGAUAUGCCACAAUGAUUGAUAAAAUAUCAUGCUGAGAUGCAUAAGAAUCAAUGUCAUUGAUUCUUAAUGACAGCAAAGAUAUCCAGGAAAAAGAACUAGUAGGACAAAAUAUUAUGACAUGUACAUUAUUUAUACUUGUAUAAAAUACGGUCUUGACAGUAGGAGAACAGCUUAAUAAAGAAACAGCUUUUCUGUAACCUGUAAAGCAGACAGCCUUCUUGCCUAGCAAGAGUAUCUGGUAGCCAGCACCUCUACUACAACUUUCCUGUGUAAUUUUUCUUAGCUUCCAAGAACAAUAACUGUUGUUAUUCUGCAUCUUUUUGAAGGCUGUUACAAAGAGCAGAUAAAAGUAAAAAUAAAAAUGUGGUUUUAAUGUGGCAGACUGAACCUGUCUGAUUUAUGGCAGUUUGGAGUGUUCACUUCAUGUGCAAAAGGUGCAAGCUAAAUAUUAUCUGCCUUUUUGCAGAGCAUUUAAUUCAAUACUGGGAAAGCAGCAGUUGGCAGUCUGAUUCUCCUUACCAUAUGAUGACUAUUUCCCUCAAAUCAAAAUCAAGCUGCCAGUUCUAGAGACUCUUCUCAAAGCAAAUAGCGUCAAUAAAAGAAGUGUGGAGAAGUGAUAUGAAUAGCAGGUGUGCCAGAUCAGCCACAUCAUCAUCUGUGGGUAGGUGCUUUUUGGUUUUUGUCGCACUCUCCUUUGUUUGACCUCUGGUGUCAGAGGACUUGGUUGGCAUCUCUGCCUCGCUAAUCAUCUCUGACAUGUGGCUGGCACUGGCAAAUUUACUCAAAAGGAUGUGCCUGCUGUAUUCUGCAUUGGCCUUCACCUGUUGGAGGCAGAUAAGUGCUGUAUAUUUUGAAUCGGGUAUAAAAAUGUAAUGAAUACUUCGUAUACUGCUUUGCUUUGUAACUCUGGUUCACGAGUUCUGUCUUCUUCAGACCAAUACAAGUACUGCAGUAAGUCAGUAAGUCAGUGCUCUUUCAAAUAGCACUUCUUCCCUUCUCAAGAUAAACAAAACAUGUGAUUAGAUUUGGAAGGCAUCAACAUUUUAGUGUAUCCAGGAGUUUGUUUCUUUUUCUUUUUUUUUUUUUUCCCUACAGAAAUAUUCACAUUUGGACUUCAGGGGUGAAAUCCAGGACUCUUUGAAAUCAAUAUAUUUUCACAGAUAUUUUAACAGAGAUGAGAAUUUUCUGCUAAUCUUUCUUCUUUCAGCUACUUCUUCUCAGAAGAGUUACAUACAGACAGAUUUUUUGUACGUACUUUUUUUUUUUUUUUUUUUUGAGUUGGCUACAAGUUAGAAAAUCCCCUACAGCUAAAGUUCAGGCUGAGGAAACAAGUGAUUUUUAUGGAUUAUCUAGUGAGUUUAGUCAAGGAUGCCUGUGCUUGUGUCCUGUGGGAGAAGCUUGUAAUAAGCCUUGAUAAAUCAGUACUCAUAUGCAUGCAUCUUCCCUUUUGCCUGCUAAGACUAAACAGAGCUAUUUCUCAAUUCCCUUUCUGCUAGUGAAUCACAUCAAAGAUUUGAAAGGGUGAUGGGGUUUUCUUAUUCAAAUGAUGUAUUCAUUGACUUUCUUGAUUAGUGUCUUUACAUUUUAUCAAUGAGCACUUCUCUGAAUUUCAAUUACAUGUUUCCAUUGAAGAAACUGUGAGGGGGAAAAAAGUGGUUUCAGUAAUGAUGGUAGUCAGUUGAAAAAGUGCUGUGCAGGUUGACUGUCAAACAUAUUAAUACUUGCUUUAACAAAAUGUUUAAUUUUUAAAAUAUUUUGUUGUUAUGCUUUUAUUUCCAGAAGUGUGAACAUGCACUGGCAGAUCCUUAUUCUUUCUGUGCUCAGUUAUAAAUGUGGUAGGACAUUUAUGUUCAAAAAACUACCUACAGCCUAAUUGCAGAAGAAAGGAACGCUGCAGGUCCUGCCUGAGAGGUUGAGCUGAACACUUUUUUUUUCUGGCUUACUGGUCUGGAAGAGAUUCAGAUAAGCUGAAAUCUUUUCAUGGCGCAAACUUUUGAAAGUAUAGAUCUUCCUUUCCAACUAACAUUAUGCAAGGACUGAAUCGUUGGCAUUCUGAGCAUUUGAGUUACUAGUUGCUAGUGCCACCUGCAACUUUGGCCAAAAGAUAAGAAGGUGUUUGCUUGUUUAUAUAUCAGAAAAGGAUUUAAUGGGGAUAAGUUUAAUAUGCAGUAUUACACUUUUCAUUGUUUCUAAUUAAAUCACAAAUACAAUCUGCAUAUUUUGGUGAGAAUACAGUAUUUUCUAACAGAUUUUGGAUAAAAUGACCUAAAACAAUCACAGCAAUAUGAAGGCUAGUGGAGAAGUGGGUGGAGAAUCAACAUAAAAAAAUAAUUGUUUCAGUGACGUUUCUAAUGUCUGAUAUGGCAUUUCAUUUUCUCAUUUAGUGUGUAUAGAUCUUAGGAUUUUUAGUUAAAUGAAUCUAUAGUAGGUUGGCUGUUGAGCAUGGCUUGAUAUCUUUUCUAGAGGACAAAUACAGGGAAAAAAAUACCUGUGAAUGUUAUCCAGAGAUAUUUGAUCACAUUCUUAAGAAGCUGGCUGGAAUCUUAGAAAAACAUGUUUCCUCAAUGCUCUUCAUGAGUUAAGUUGCCCUGCAGAAGAACUUCUGCUAUUUCUGUUGGGGAUUGAGAGUGUCUUUAUUUCCUUGUCAGUUGGAAACUGUUUUACUGUAUAAUUAUAAUCAUAUGUUGGAGCACACAAAUAUAAAGCUUUGAAAUUAUUAUUGUGAGUUUUAGUCUAAGAAAUUUAUGUUCACAAUAAAGAUGACUUUUUUUUAUAUGCAUAAAACAACUUUGGGGCAAUUUUCUCCCUAGGAAUGCUCCAUAGUUUUGUUGCUCAAUAGCCUCCUGGGAUGUAAAAAAAAGGCUAAAAAUAAAUGCUGUUUCCCGUCAGACAGAAAAUGAGCAUUCUGCAUAACUGUUUCCAAGGUGAGUACUCUCUUCAUGGGAUAGGCAUCUGUGCUUCUGUGUCUUUUCUGGUGUAGUAUUAACAGCUCUAGAGGGCGAGACACACUAGCAAAGAUUAAAAACAAACAAACAACAACAAAAAAACUUGCAGACAUUUAUUCAUUUCUUAACUAGCAUGUCCACUGAGGUUUGGGAAGCCUGUAGGAAUCUCCAUGGAAGUCAACCAGCCUACCUUCAGGCUAUGAAUUUUGGUUGGUGAUGCUUACUCUUUGCAGUUUUAGUUUUCAUAGAAUCACCAAGGUUGGAAAAGAUCCCACAGGAUCACCCAGUCCAACCAUCCACCCAUCACCAAUAGUCCUCAUUAAACCAUGCCCCUCAACACAAUGAUCAAACAUUCCUUGAAAACCUCCACGGUUGGUGACUCCACCACCUCCCUAAGCAGUUUUUGAUGCUUCUUUUUAAUUCCUAUUUAUAAAAUAGAGGAAAACAACACUUCUGUUUUAGGACUGUUGUGAAAAUAAAUACAUUAAAGCUUGUAUAUUCAUAUACUAAUGUAGUUAUGCAUAUCUAAAUAAAGUAGGAAUGAGUCACCAACUUUGAAUUCUGUAUGACUGUUAUUUAGCCUUAUACAUUCAAGCUAACCAGUGAGAAGAAAGUCCAGACUACUAAUUUGCCAUGAGGGAAUAGCAUAUCUCUGAAUCAAACAGAUUCUUUAGCUGGUGUAGGUACGGAUUUGGGGCUAGGAACAUUAAUAGCAAUUCAGUAAGGCACAUGGCAAUUGUAAUUAUUUUAUGCUAUAAAAAGAUACAAGUGACCCUGAAAAUCCUAUUAUGAACCACAAAAUUAAUGGCAAGGCUAAAAUAUUAUAGUUUUAUGUGAACCAUUUCAGUUAAUUUCAGAUUUUAUAUAUAUAUAUAUAUUUAAGUCCAUGAUCAUCUUCAGAAUGUAGAAUGAAUUUUAUAUUUUUCCCUCAGUUUGAGGGAUUGUUUCCUGAAGUUUAGAUUAUUAUGAGCCAUGUUAUCAAUAAAAUCUCCCUUCCCUCCAUACACAGCUAAUUCUACUUCAGUAGAUCAGUCUGUAUGAAUGAGGCAACAGACUGUAUCAUUUUUGUUGUUUAGAUACUGAGAGGCAAAUAUACUUCAUCUCUAGAAUUGGAUCUCUCUUUCUUUCAUUAAUAGUAUUGUAACUAUAAAAUAGAUUUCAUGGGACAACUGGAGUUUGAAAGUAUAGAAAAAAGUAGAGUGGAAUAAGGAAAAGAAUUAAUUAAUAUGUGGUCGUAUUACUUAUUUCACUUAUAUAUUUAUUGCUACAGUAAUAAGGCAUUAGCACUUUUAAUAGAGUAGAUCGUUAUUUACCUUUCAUAAUUUUUGAGUUUGUGUAUGUGUGCAGGAGUUUGUCAGAGUGCUACACAGAGCUUAACUUUUAUAUUUGCAUUUCUUAACAGUGUCAGUUUAUGUUCUGCCACCAGGGAUUGCCUCAUCCCAUGUAAUCCAGAAUGUCUAUAGAUUGAUCUCUGUGCCUGAGGAAUAUGAAGAAAUUCCCCCAUACUCUGUAAUUUCUUGAACAUUGAAUGCAUUGGGAUCAGACCACACAUAGUGAUUUUUAUCUUUGAAGUAUUUCUUUUUUUUUUGUUUUAUUUUUUAUUUUUUUAUUUUUUGCAUUGAAAGACUCCAACCAUCUCUACUAUUGUUUAUAAUAUGAAAGUAAUUAAAAUUCUAUUUUAUCACUUAAUCACCGAAAUGGUUAACUUACAUUAUUGCUGUCUCCCAGUCUAUGCCAUUGUUCUUUUCCAGGAGAAGAAAAUUCUACAAAGCAGCAGAAAGGAAGUGCAAUUCAUUAUGCACGGAGCUUUCUUUAUCUUAAUCAGUUCUGGUAAUUUACGUAAGAGGUUUUGUCAUUAACUGCGUUUUCUUUGAAGAAAUCCCUCCCAUAGCCUAAUCUAGUUUGCCACUUAUUUAAAUGCCUGUGAUGGUAAAACAGAACUACUUUCUUCAGAGUGUUUGAAAAUUAUUAGAAACUCUAGUCUGAAUGUGUGUAUAUAUAUACUUUCGUCAGACAAAAUAUUAUUGUAAGUGAAUGCUAUGUUGUCAUCUUCUAAUUAGACUGGUCUAUUAGUCAAAUUUAAGUUUCAAGUGGACUGGAGGAUGGAGAAGUGUAUGUAAUGGGAGGCACAUAAUAACCUUGUUAACCACUAAAAUGUCUUUCAGGAUUGAGCACUGCAAGGAGACUGACUACAUGCAUGAGAGCUGCUCUGAUAGUAAUGCCUCCUAUUUUAUUAUGUUAGCUCAUAAUAUCAGAAGUGGUUGGUGGUAUGGCAGUAGAAGUUGAACCUUCCUACCAAUAUUUUGUUAGAUUCUGUUGCAAUGUGACAGAUGACAGCAGAGGGAGAGUGAGACAAAUUGGCUUUUGACAUGGAAGUGCGUAUGAAGCAAAAAUAUGUCAUUGAAUUCCUCCAUAGGGAGAAAAUGUCACCCAGUGAUGUUCACUGAAGUUUGCUGAAUGUUUAUGGAGACCAUUGAAUGUCAGCACACCAAGGUAGUGGGUGGUGCGUUUGAAUAGUGGUGACAGUGGAUCAGCUCCACUGGUGCAGAUUAUUAUGAGCGCAGCAUGCAUGCUCUUGUUCAUCAUUAUUGAAAAUGUAAAGCUAAUGGUAGCGAUUAUGUUGAAAAAUAGUGUUUUGUAGCUGAGAAUUUGCUCUAUCAAAUACUGUUAUCUUUGUUGUAAUUUCCAUGGAAAGAAAUGUAAAUCUGAGAAGAGAGAAGAAAAUCAGCAGGGAAUGUCAAUGUAACCGAAAUCCAGGAGCAUAUCCAGCUGAAGGGAGUUCACAGAUUAAGAUCAAAGAAGAACUGAGUGUUAGAAUAAAAGAUUUCAUUUGAGACUUUUCAAGUAUAAUUUGGAGCAGACCAUCUUGAAUGUCAUCACACAGCACAUACAGGACAACCAAGCUAUCAAAUGAAGCCAGCAUGGGUUUGUGAAAAGCAGAUCCUACCUGACUAUCCUGGCCACCUAUGAUCAGAUAACUUGAUCAGUAGAUGAGAGAAAGGCUAGGGUUAUUGUAUACCUUGAUCUUGGUGAGUGUUUGAUGCUGUUUCUGACAGUAUUUUCCUGGAGGAUCUGCCUGUUUUUGGCUUGCGCAGGUGUAUAUUUUUCUGGGUGUUGAACUGCCUGGAUGGCCAGGCUCAGAGAGUCAUAGUGAAUGAAGUUCAGUCCAAUUGGCAAUGAGUCACCAGCAACUUUUCCCAGGGCAUGGUACUGGGAACAGCUUUAUUUAACAUUUUCAUUAAUGAUUUGGAUGGGGGGUGCAGUGGAAUUGCCAAGUUAUGGCCUGAACCAAUGGUUGAGCACCAGGUGAGAAAGGCAAGACUAACCCAGGGAGCUCAUGUGCAAGCAAUGCACAUGAGUGACUAGAAGGAAAUCAGUCUGGAUCCACCGCUCCUUACUCUCAUUUAAGGGCUAGCAGCUGAGGGAGCACCGUUUCUCUGGAUAGAGGUUGCACUCCUCUUGAGCUGUCGCUGAUUGUUGGAAGGCGUGAGCCAAUUUUCCUUCUUUGCUACCUGCUAUUGUUCUGUAGUGCCUGUAUCCCAUUCAAGCACACUGUUAUUGCCUUCUUUCCCCAUACAGGGGAAUUUAAUGAACCCUCAGAAGGUUCCCUGACAAUACCAAAUUAGGUGGAACCUGCAUGAGAGUUGGCAGGCUAUGCAGAGACAUCUGAAUUAGUAGAUUCAGUGGGCCAAUGAAUUCAAUCAUAUGGUAUUUAAGGAAGGUGAGUUGCUCAGUCCUGCACUUCAGUCAGAAAAACCCUGUGCAGUGAUAUAGGCUGAGGAAAGAGGACUUGGGGAUGCUAGUCAAUAGCUGAACACAAGCCAGCAGCGAGCCCAGGUGGCCAAAGUGACUGAUGAUAUCCUGGCCUACAUUAGAAAUACUGUGGACAGCAGGAUGAGGGAAAUGGUAAUCCCAUUGUACAGCGCUGGUGAGACUACACUUUGAAUACAUUGUUCAGUUUUGGGCCCCUUACUUCAAGAAAGCUGUUGAGUUGUUCAAACAUAUACAGAUAAGUGAAAUGAAGCUGGUAAAGGGAUUAUAAAACAAGAAUCAUGAGGAGCAGCUGAGGGAACUGGGGUUGUUUAGUCUGGGGAAAAUAAAGCUGAGAGUGGAUCUCAUCUCUCUCUACAACUUCCAGAAAGGAGGUGAUGGGUGACAGGAUGUGAAAUAACAAACUUUUAGAAUUUCUUCCCAGAGAGAGUGUUCAAGAACUGGAACAGACUGCCCUGGGAAGUGGUGAAGUCCUCAUCCCUGGAGAUAUUUAAGAGAUGUGUGGAUAUGGUAAUAAAGAACAUGGUUAGAUGAUGGUUAGAUGACUUUGUCGGGUCAGGUUGAUGGAUAUACUUGAUGAUCUUUAAGGUCUUUUCCGACCUAGAUGAUUCUGUCAUACGUGUAUGGGUUCUCAGUACCCUGCAAUUAAUAUAUAUCUUUAGGAGUUGUUUCACCUAGAAUCUUUCUUUCAUCCUCAUCACUGAUUUAAAAAUACAGUGCAAAAAAUAUUUCUCCUUCCUGCUUUUGUCUCUCUCUUAUAUGUAUGUAUUUAUACGCUUGUUGUUGUUUCCUGGUUUUGCUCUGUUGGAGAAUAAGUAAAGUUUAGGGAAUGGAUCUGAUCCAAUGGUUUAAACUUUGCUCCAGUAAAGUCUUUAUUACAUGGUCUAAUUCUAAUUUUUUUUUCCCUUUGCUUUUUACUCUUAGGCACACAUUUGAAUUCUGAACUGGUCUAGGAUCUAGACUUCUUUCUUAACAGCGCAGGUUCAUGUUGAAUUAGAGAUCUCAUAUAUAUCUUAGGUUUUUUUACCUGACAGUUUCAAGUUUUAAGGAUUUUUCUUGCUAUAGAAGGCCCUGGUCAUGAGGCAGUUAUGCUUUUAAAAAGCUGACAUGUACAAGAUCAGACAUAGGACUUCACUGGCCAAAGAAAGCACAUAUUAUCCUAUAAUAAGUUGACUCUAAAUGUUCCACUUUUCCUCCUGAGAUUCUAUUGCCCAGACUCCCUUAUUUCCCCUUUAUCUUCUAAUCUGCUUCAUUGAGUUACACAUCUGUGUAUGUUUACUCCUGUGCAUGUAGUGGUGCAAACCAAUCAAGUGACCACUGAGACAGUAAUACUGCCUCUCAGGUGGUACAUAUAAGUCCACAGAUGUUCUGGGGUACUAACUGCUUCUUCAUAAUUCCACGCAGAAGAAUGGCUUUACAAAAGAGCACAAACAGGUUGAAUUAAUAUUGCCUACUGCUGAUCUGAGUGCCUUCAGUACCCCUUCUCCCAGUAUGAGAUUUAAGUUCCGUCAUUGGAACGGCACUCAUUCAAAAAUUAGACCAUAUAUAGCACAAUGAAACAUUCCUACAACUUGGAACCUUUUCUGAAGCAAAAAUUAUACAAGUAAACUAAAGGCUCAAGGCAAAAAUUAUGACUGAAUGUGAUCUUUUGAGUAAAUAAUGGAUUCUGGUAAUGCAUUAGUUUUCAUUCAGAAAAGCUGCUAAUAUAAUCCUAGUUCCCCAAACAGCAGGCUAAUUGUUGUUCAGUGUUCUUUCUGAUUCCACUUAAAAAUUUCACGGUGGACCUAAUAACAGUAAAAGUUAAGGGGUUUAAUAGGUUGGGUGUUUUUUUUUGUUUGGUUGGUUGGUUGUUUUUUUUUUAAAAGGAAAUCGUCCUUUUGAAAUUAUCUGGAACUAGACUUGAACAAACACUUAAAAUUUUAACAAAGUUAUUCCUUCCAUCUUCCCAUUUUCCUUCUAUUAUGGAAACAUUUUUUUUUAAUGGAAAAAAUUGUGUGUCUCUGUGCAAUUUGGACUACAACAAUGCUGUUCUUAUUGAUGUGCUUUGAGCUCAAUUCACAAUCAAGUGGUGAGAGGGACAGUCUCAAUUGCCACUGAUUUAUAUGUAAAUUGUGAUAAACCAGUACUUUCAAAUAUAAGGCACAAAGGUUCCAUUUUAUAUCUCUCUUUCUCUCUCUCUCUCUCUUUUUUUUUUUAGGUAAGAUUCCAGGAGUAAUUUAAAUGUAGUGAACUUAGUAAAUUCUAAAAUGAUCUCCACAUGAUGAAAUAAUUACUGAUUUUAUGCAAAGAGUAAAAAUGAUACUUAAGAAUACUUAUUAUUUUAAGAGUAUACUGCUGUCUUCAGGACAAAAAGUAAUUGUUUUCAUCAUUGCCUCUGUGGAUUAUAUUGUCCUUAUAAGCAGGUAUUAAAUCAUGCAAAGAGGGGAAGGCUUUUGUUCCUUCGAGAAAACAGAAAACUCUUCAAUAAAUAGCAAAGUGAUUCCUCAGCUGAAUUCAAAAUAUUGAGCUUAUGUAAAAAAAAAUUAUCACAUGAAAAAAAAUCUUUAAUGCUGCAUAAAAGAUUUUGUUCCAUUCUGCAUUGUACUGAAUCAUCAAUAGAGAAAUGGUUCCUUUGUUUUCAGUAGAUGGGGAAUGUUGUGGAUAACUUAUGUGAAAAAUGUAAUACUCCUAUGUCAGUACAACAAAAGAAAAGAAAGGAGUAAAUGUUAUGAGGACUGCUUCAGAAGGGAAUUCUGCUCCAAAGAGGUGAUCUAGAAAGAAAGGAAACAAACUCCUUAGUAGUCAGUCCGUUUAGACAGUGAUGCUCAUUUGUGUGAAGCUUUUUUGUUAUCAUCACAUAUUUCAUACUCAUAUAUUAGGUAAGUCUCUCUGGGAAUUCAAUGUACACAGAACAAAAGAGGAUAUACUUGAUUCAAAGAUAGCUGAAUUUCUCAGGAAGUUCUAAACCUCAGUGGGAUGGCUGCUUGGGAAGUCCUUUUACUGCAGUGCCUUGUGGCCACCAAACCAAGCAGUGAUUGAGCAGCCUUGAAUCCUUGUAAUUAGAAGAAGGAAGCUUAGUGAGAACCAGCUUAGAUGACUUUGUUCAUUUUCCUUAGCUUGUAUAGAACUGCAAGUGUUAAUAUAAUCUAAUAAUAAGAUUGUUUUGGAAAAAAAAAAUCUUGGUUUUAUAUUAAACCACUAAACAAAGGAGUGAAAGAAAAAAUAUAUUGCAAUGUUAUGAACAUCAAAUACUAUCUGAACAAGGAAAUAUUAACAGUUUAUGUGAUAAACUUUAGACAAUACUCUUGCAUCAAUAGCAUCACUGAACUGCUUGUGGGUGGCUGGGGAUAGUUUUUCCAAUAUCCAAUACUAAAAAACCCAUUAUAUUAAAAAAAAAAAAAAAAAGUGAAAAGUGAAUAAGAGCAUAUUGGGUCAUUGGCUUAUUAAUUUUACAACUAGAUGAAACAGUAGAUUUGUUUUACUUUACACAAGCUGUGUUUUUUUUCCUUCCAUGAGCUGAGUGAAUGAGUUUGAUUGGUUCUGUAAGGCUCCGGUUUGAAUUUGGGGGGAUUUUAUGCUUUUCUAAUCUUUAAAUGUAGAGUACUAUAGAAUAUGAUUACCUACCAAUUUCUUAACCAAUAUGUAUUUACUGCUGUCUCUGAGUUUAUAUUAUACUACAAUUUUGGAAGUCUUUUUAUACAUGAUUGUAACUGUUCAUGUCAGAUCUGUCUACAUUCGUAUAUUCAGUGCAUGUACUUGAAGAAUAGCUUAUAGAAAGUAAUUGCAGCCAGUGUUUAUAGGACAUCACAGUUGUGUGAACAGUGCUUAAAAACCUGAAAAAAAUCAGAAAAAAAGAUAGUAUAGAUUAAAAUAUUUUUAGAUUUCAUUUCAAAUAGGAUUAAACAAAAAUUUCAAGUAUUAUCUUUACAACUGUGAAGUUCACCCUAUUCUCAGUGAUGGCAUACUAAAUUUGUCAUGUAACUGUGCCUUAGCUAGCCUGUAGGAUUUAUUUUAGUUAUACAGACUGUCUUGGAAAUACGCAUAGAGGAUGAAGCAGUGACCUAUGGAUUUUAGAAUACUCAGAAAAAUUUUGCAUACUAAUCUUAUUUUUUUUAUAACAAUCUGAAUCUAAUUUACUUGCUGCAAGUGGGGAUGAGUCACAUUAAUUUGUCUUUUUUAACUAGAAAUACCCUACAGCUUGAUCAACACCACUAUCCCGAUUUAUACCAUCAACAUCAUGGAUUGGGUCAGUAUAAGGAAAGGAAAAAAUGAAAGAAAUCAGAAGCAAUUUUAAAACAUCAGAAGAGAAAAAAAAAGUCUUUGAAUAGAUCUGUAAAGACAGCUCAUUAUGUUUAUGAAAAAUCCACAGUUGAUAGUGAUGUACUGAUGAAUAUGACUAUAUAUAUGAAUAUCCACCUCAUCCCUCCUCUUCUGAGUUGUCAUCAAGAAAUAAGAUAUUCUCUCUUACUCUUCUGCCAAAAAACAUCUGGAAUCCUUAGGAAAACAUUGAGGUAUUGAAUCAAAAAGACUCUAUCAGCAUAUUUACUUUAAGCACUCAAAGUCAGUCAUUGACUCAGUUGUAGACUUAAGAUUAUGCAGUUGCUUCAUGUUUUACUAAAAGGUUUAAACAUUAUACUGAAACAGAGGUAAUUACACUGCUUAUAUGCAGUUCUAAUCUACCUUGAGUGUGGGAAAAAAAAUUACUUGUGCAUUUAAAAAUAGUAUUAUAAGAAUUAUUUGUAGGAUUUUUAUGCCUAGGUGCUAGGUGCUCCUAGUGCAGAUUUCACAACUUUUUGGAAACUGUAAGAUUACUAUUUCUUUCUGAGUUGUUUGUCACUCUUAAUAACUACGAGGUAAACAGAAGAAAACACUUCUAUGAAAGCUGCUCUAAUAACUGCUGUAAUGACUACUAACAGAAAUGGCUUCAUUAUUCAUGAGUUGUGCACAGAAUUAGUUUGAGACAUUGAAUGGAUGUGAGGAUCUAUUCAUUUUCUGUUACAAACUCCAUUCUCAGCUACCUGAAAAAAUUAAGGUCAAGAAAAUGGUUCAUCAUGUUUACUCAUUCAAGACAUCACCAAAAUCCAGUUGAUACUAGAACUGGGGACAAACUUACUUUACUAAUUUGUCUUUGUGGGUAAUAUGCAACCAAUCCUUUCCAUAUAAACUACUCCAGAGCCACUAUUAGUAUUUUUACUAGUGUACGGAUAGGAGGAGGUUAGAGAAGCAUAUAUCAUAUGUCUAGGUUAUAUAUAAAGGGACUGGAUAUUGAUUACCUCCAUAUUUUACCUGCUGAUAUAGUCAUCUUUGUGUAAUUUUUGAUAAUUUUACAAGGACACCUUAUUGUUUGUGAGAAGCAAGUUGGAGAGCCUUUCUGUAGUGAUCUGCAUCAGCAUUUAGAAUGCCAUAAUGAGGUUAUAUGUUACACUAUGCUUAUGUGCUUUGCUAUUAAUUUGAAAUAUUCUCCCUGAACAUGAAAUUAAUAGAAGUAAGGAAAAACUAUUGGACCACAAUCUGGAUUAAGCACUUCUUUGUAUCAUAGAACUUCAGAUGCAUGAUUAUUAUGCCAGUAAUCAGAGUAGCAUUGAAUUUAAAAUUGCUGCUUUGUUGCUCUGCAUAUUUUGAUCCAGUAAUUAGGACUGAGAACUGUUACUUCGUUUUACUUUCAGCAUUAGUAACAUUACAGGAUUUCAGAGUAUGCAAAAGAGAAAGGGCAUGAAAAUCAAAGCAAAACUUUCAUUAGAUGAUGAUGCAGUUUUGGAAAUUUAAGGAACUUCAAUUAAGUUUCACACCUUACAGUAUAAUGUAUACCCUAAAUUCUGUAAAACUUAAGCUUAGGUGAAUUAUUUGGAUUUUUGCUGUGACCUUCACUUAAAUGGCUAGUAUUUCUUUCUCUAUCUUUCAGUGCAAUAAUUUUAGACCAUACAAGUGCCAGGUUAACUUUUUUUUACAGGGUAGUAGCUGUGUCUGCAUCAGCAAGUCAUACAUGGAAGAAAUAGAUCAGGAGAUCAAAAUAGCUGGUGGUUGAGACUACUGCCACUAUUAUGUGUACUGCUCUGGGGGCUUAUUUUGAAUUGAUUUAGUCUAGUUUCCUGAUUCAGAUGUCCUCGUCACAUGUGCAGCUCAAAGUCCUUUGAAGAACUAACCUUUUGUUUGGACCCUUAUGAACCCACUACUUGCUAGAUUGCAUUUGAUGUGUGCCUGAUAUAGAGUUUAGUUUCCUCCAAAGAAAAUCUAGCUAGCAUCAGCCUCUCCUCAUUGGGCAAGUGCCCAACUCCCCACCAUAAUGAAUGCCCAUUCCUUAUCAGUGCUGUAUCUUUAUCUCUAUUUUGACAGCAGUUUUCUGACUUUGAGUUCUAUCAUAAUCUUAACAAGCUUCCCAUUAAUUUCUGAAUAGAACAGCAUAUGAAGAUACAGUACUGGAAGUCUGGUGAAAGGAUUAUGGUGUUAGGAAUUAACAGGAAGAAUGAAAACUACUGCACCCACCCAAUACAGAAAAGUACAUACUUCAUUAUCUUAGUAGCUACAUUAUCUGCAAUAUCAAACAUCUUGUUUCGUGUCAAAGGUCAUACCUUGGUGAUGUCUUAUUAGUACAGCCGUCUUUAGCUGGUGUGAGAUAUGUGUUUAUUCACAGUUUGAACAUCACCCCUUCAUUCUCUCCUAUCAUUAGUAACUUAGAGUUUUCAUGUACCCGAUCAACUCUUGACACAAGAUAGGUCUCUAGAAGGAAGAGUGAGUUUUGAACUUUCUGUAAUUAAAUGUACAUUUUUUUAACAUCAGUAAUUGGAAAUCACAAUAGAUUCCAAUCCCCAUGCUAAUAAUUCAUUAUAAAUCUGACAUAUAUGGCGAACAUUUAUAUACCAUAAUUUUAGAGGUAUCUCAACUAGAAAGUUCCUAGCAAUAAUAAAAUAGUAAUAAAAAGACAAAGGCAGACGCAAAAUAGCAUUUUAAAGGUAACAUAGUUGAAUCUGUUAUUGUCCAAAAUUAUUUUCUGCAUUAAACACUAGAUACUAUGAGAAGAACUUAAAGUAAAAGGUACGUACUGUAAUUCUUCUCAUAUUAUGUAUUAGACUGAAAAAAUACACAUAGGUAGUAAGGAAGUUGUGUUCUCCCAUAGCACUGUGAUUAAUGUGUACUUAAAUUUCUUCAAAAGAAUCUCGUAAUAUGUCCAUGAGAUGUUCGUGAUUUUAUUACAUCAAAAUUUAAAAGCAAAUUUCAGGCUUACAAGCUCUGGCUUUUUUGCUGUGAUUGGCUUCUGACAUGAGCACAGGUAGUCCCUGUCUUGUAGUCUUGCAUUCUCGAUUUACAUAGUGGACUUUAAAUUGUUUUACUUCAGGGGAUGUUAUAAUCUCCUUUGAUGUCCAUAAAGUCAGUAGACCUAAUCUGCUUGAAAGAUACUGAAUUUCUUAGAAGCUCAUAUCCGCCUACUAUUUUACAUAGGGAUUAUCAUUACUAGGCUCAUAAAAUGUGUUUUUAACAAUAACAAAAUUUGAUAAGCAGCUUGGCUUCAUAAUGAGAAUUUAGCAAGACAGAAAUGCUACUCAGCAGCAAUAGUUUUUCCCUUGCAGAAACUAUGUCAUGUGAAAAGAAAAGGAAGGAGGAUCUGAUUUCUAGACAGUUCGUAACUGAUUGUGUCAAAAUCUACAUAAACGCAGGACACACAGUUCUCAUGGUAUGUAUAAGAGUUGUUUAAGGAGUUAAUUAUGGAUAGGAAUGAAUUAUCUGUGCAUAUGCUGCUGGUAACAAAUAAUCAACUUUAAAUUCUCAUUUUUAGACCUAAUGGUUGAUAUUCAAUUACUAAUGGUUAUCCAUCUAAAAAGCUAUCUUACAAUACUCAGCUUGAAUUAAAUAUCACUACAUUAAAUUGAAUUAUGAGAAAGAGUAGCUCAUCUAUAUAUGUAGAACAUCUUGAAAUUGAAAUUUGUUAUUCAAAUCGUGAUUCUGUAAUAUGGAAGUGCACAUUUUUAAUAUGAAUAUAGAGAAUUCAGUGCUUGCCUAUUUGAGUUGCAUGUAUGAGCUCAUUAAAAAAGGUAUGCUAAAAAUGAGUAUCUAUAAUAUAUAAUCUAGAAGAUACAAAACCAAAUACAUAGUUACUGAUACCAGUCUGUGUUAAUGUCUGUGGGUUGCUUCAAAAGUACUGCCUUCUAUUUAUUUCCAUGGCAAUUAAAACAGAUACGGAGGACACAAUAACACUGUUUGAUAGAGCAAAUUCUCAGCUACAAAGCACUAUUUUUCCUCAUAUAGUCACCACCAUUAACUCCAUGUGUUGCCAGUGAUGAACAAGUUCCUGCAUGCCAUGCUCGUAAAAUUCUGCAUGGCCAUCAGGGGUGUGGCUUGUCUUUCAUGUUGCUAUCAUCACACUGCUGAAACACACAACCCAUGGCCUCUCUGUGCUCACAACCACUGUUUGGUCCACAUAAAUGUUCACUGAGCAUUGAUGAAAGUCAGCAGGUGUCAUUUUUUAUGCUUAGAGGAAUUCAGUUAUAUGCCUGUGCUCAAUAAUUCACUUCCACAUCAGACACUGUUUUGACAGACUGCCCCUCUGCUGCCAUCUGUUGCAUGGCAACAAAAUGUAAUGGAAUAUUGGUAGGAAGUUUCAGCCUCUACUGACAUACCACUAGCAUCUGCCUCUGAUGUUGUGGGCCAACAUAACAAAAUUGGAGGCAUCAUUUUCAGAGCAGCCCUUGUAGACAGCACCAUAAAUGCCAGUAGAUGAAACCGUAAACAGGGUGUACAGCUUUAAGUUUUCUUUUUUGAAUUAUUCUUUACCAUUUUACAUCACUUUUAAAGACUGCAUUUUGAAAAAUGGUCAGCAUCUCUAAUUCUGUAUGCAUAAGCAGUUGGGCAUGCUAGGGGAAAAACCUAUUUCUAGGAUUUAUGUGUGUAUACUAUCUGAGUGUGCUUAGCAUGACCGACAGUUAUCACGUACCAGAAUGACAGUGUAUUUUGCAUUCUUAUAGGAGAUUUGUGCAAGUAGGUGGAGACAAUGGGAGGUCUAUAUGAAGUUCUAACUGGCUUAAGUUGGUGAUGUUGAAUGUGACUGUUAACGCUAUAUAUUUCUGAAAGUUUUAGAGUCUUUAUUUGUAAUGACAUAUUAAGGAUUCAUUUACUGUUUUCCAACUUACAGAUUUAUUCUGAAGACAUUUUUUAAAGGGCACUCAAUCUUAACUUUCAUUGCGUGGAAACAGAUUUAUGCCCCAUGAAACACAUGGCUACUUAAUUUUGGCUUCUACAUUCUUGUUUAUUUGUAUAUCUUUCUGAAUAUAUUCCUCUUUGUUAUUAGCUUACUCCUGCCUCUUUGCAGACAUGCGUAAUCAGCCACAAGUUUCAAAGGUUGCAGUUGGUAGGAAGGGCAUGGGGAUAACAGCCUGAAGCAAGAAUAGACGAGAAAGUGUGGAUAAAAUCAACUCUGUGUUCUGAUAAGAGAGAAAUAACCUACCAUUUGUACUAUUUACUUGGAGGAAUUUAGAAACUAGCAGGGAGGAAGAUUAGACAGCUUAGGAAGAAUUAGAACCUUGAAAAAAGAUGUAAGAGGAUGGAUGAUAUACCUCAGGAAGAAUAUGUCUUAGCAUAUAGUCUAGGGAGACAAACUUACAUGGCACUUCAUAUAGAUAUGACUGCUGCAAGCUCAGCUUCAAUACUGUAUUAAAUUGAAUAUGUUGCAUCCCAGCUGGAACUAGCUAUGAUAUGUCCUAAGGCACCAUUUUUAUCAGCAGCCUUUUUGGGUUAGCAAACAACAAAUGAACAGUUUCUGUGCUUUGAGCCAGUAAUAAUGAGAACUUGAUAAAUUCAAAUUCUUAAACUGUGAUCAUUAAACUAUUUUGUUAAAAUUUGUUUUUGUUGAUCUCACUGAUGGAGACACCUCUUUGCCUAGUCCCAUCAUGUUGAUUUGAGAAAGACCAUGGAUUCUGACAAGACUUAAGGAUACAGAGAAACAGAAAUUUUAGACAAGCAUAGUGUUUCAUUGUUUAUUAACCAAGUAGUUUUGUUUCUGUGGGAUCAUUUCAUCUAGAAUCACUCUGAUAAAGACACAAAACUACUGUGUUGGUUGUCCUUAACAGAAUGUAAAAAUUUUUGAGUGCUCAUUUCAGACUGACAGACUGGCAGUAAAGUUGCCAACUAAUAUAUCUGGCUGAUCUUUUGUAUGAAAUGCAACAAGUAGCUUGAAGUCCUCCUCCUUUGGGGCCAGCAAAUUGAGAAUGCCAAUAUUCUGUAUCACUUGAGGGUGUUUUGAGGUCAGUUAGUGUUUUUGAUCUAGCAGUUACAAUAAAAAAUCUAGAUACAAAAAAGCCUACUUACAGUAAAUCUGUUGUUGUGGUUAUACUUUUCAGUUAUUUUAGUCCAAGAAUCUGGAGAAUUUCCUUGUAUUUGGAAACAGCGUGAUGCUGUUUGACAGCAGUCCACAUGCCAUGUCUUACUUCUAAUGGCAAGAGCUUGGCUGUCCAUUGAUGUGAAAGGGCUUUUUGGUAAAAUGUGAGUUUUGCUUUUUCCACUGAAAUGGUUGAAAAGUGAUUUGAGUAUAAAAUGGACACAGUGACAAUAGGAAAACCUGAGAGAGAGAAAGAAUGGAUUUCUUCCUAAUUAGUCUGAACAUAAUAAUGUGUAGCAUGUUAGCAGAACAUGUCUGAUUUUUAACAGAGGAAAAAUGAGAGUGCUCAGCACAAGAGAAAAGCUUUGCAUUAAAUAAACCUUUUAUUUUCCAGUGUCAGUUAAGUUCUGCUGAACAAAACCUUGGACCAUUGCUCUAGAAAGCAGCAGGUGAAUGCCACAAGGCAUCAUACUGAGGCCAGGGUGAGGGCAGCCACAGGGCUGGGACAUGGCCAAUGAGGAGAGCUAGGCAAGGCCUGACCAAGGUCCUGGGGGUCUAUGCUCAUACUGAGCCAUCUGCUGGGCAGUGCGGCAUGCCACUGUGCCACGUUCAGUCAAAUGUUGCAGAGCACUGCAAAAGAGACGUGGAGGACAGCUUGCUGAUUUUGUGGGCUUCCUCAGGCAAGCAAAGGCUGAUCAGGCAGAAGCCAGUUGGGUAGCUAUCCCCACAGGCAUCAGGAACCCAGCGUGAGGAGCCCAGAUGUGGUGUGCACUCAUACAUACCAACAUGAUAAAGGAUGUAUUUCCUCACAUGCACUUACUGGCUUUUUGGGUGGGUAGGAACUAGGAGGUUUUCCAGUCCCUCCCUGAUGUUUUCUUAGGGAAUCACCAUGAAAUGUGUUCCAUGUGAUGGCCGCCCAUAUUGCUCUUAGCAAAUACAUCUUUAUCUUGGCUUCAUAUCAAAAUGGGCUAUUGAUUUCAGAUUAACAAAAUCAAGAAAAAUAUAAGUGUGAGAUACUUUUAUUCUUCAAUAAAGUUCUGAGGACAAUAAUUGGAUUUGCCUUCCAGACAGGCACAUAGUAUUGAUUAUGAAUCUGAAACUAUAAUUCAAACAAGGCCAAAACUAAUAGAAAGUAUACACAUGUUCAGUAACAAAUAAAUUAAAAAAUAAAAAAUAUUCAUAUGUUAAAUGCAAGAAUUUUACAACUGUUACACUGAUAUGUUAUUGUAUUACACUUGCCUAAGUGGCUUAGCUGUUUUGUGUAUAACCUAAUAUAUGAUUUCACUGUUAGAGAAUUAUGGAGUAAACUAAAGAAAGGUAAAACACUUUUUAUCACUAACAUAACAUAAAACAUACCUCAGUGACUGUUGUUGUGAAAUACUAUUUACUAUUUUUUUUUCUUUUUGGUCCUUGAUGAAAUUAAUGUGGGAAUGCAGUAUGAUGCCGGAUGCUAAAGUAGAUCAGUAGAUUAAUUUUAGUCUCUUAUGUAUGCAACAGAGUUCUGAACAGUCUUUGGGUGAGGCUGUCAUGCUGAAUAAUUUCUUUAUCCAUUGAUCUCUAUUCAAGACUUGAACUUCAGUAACUGGACAUCUCAACAUCAUAAAAUAGUCAAAACUUGAAAGGAGACAUUAAAUUACAAAAAAAAAAAAAAAAAGGAAAAAAAGUUAUACCUCUUUUCACUUUAAUUUCUUUCUUUCUUUCUUUUUUUCUUUAAUCUCACUAAAAAAAAUAUAUAUCAAAAUGUACUGUACUAUGAUUUUUAUUAACCAGUUCUUACAACUUGCAACUGAUUGUCUCAGCUUGAAUUUAUCUGUAGUAUACAGAAUUCUCUUGCCCAUUCACAAAGAAAAAGUAUUAUUUAGAGUAGUUCUCAUCCACAGCUUCCUCAUUACUGGAUUUAUGUGAAAAGCAGAUCUUAUUUCCCAUGGUUAUUCACACAGAAGUUUUCUUUUUAUGACUUGAAAAAUAGGGUUAUUCUUCUUUCCUUGAUACUUGAUGCUUUUAGUUUAUUCCUAUAGCAAAUAGAAGCAGAGGUUCUCCAGUUCCUAAGUGCUAUUGGUGCUUUUUAUGUGUAAUAACUGGACUUAACACAAAAAAUAAAUUUUUAUCCAGUUAUUUUAUGCCAAAAUCAACACUCUCCACAGUCUGUACAUAUACUGGUAUACUGGUAUUGCUUCUAUCUUGAUUCAGAGUACAGCCACCAUGUUAAUGAAGUGUUAGCAGAUAUGUAAGAAGUUAUCUAAGAAACAUUAUUUUAGUUUUUUGAAACUGCUCUGCAAAAACAUUUCUUUUCAGUUAGUAAUUGCUUAGAGCUUAUAAAGUUGAAUGAAAGAUAAAAUAGAUCUUCCUUUUUUUCAACUACUUAACACAACAAGCAUUCAUUUUUUCCCCUGGAUCUAAACUGGAACUUUUGAAGAAUCUGAUCUUACCUUUCACCCAGAAAGAGGAGGAGAGAUCAAAGAACUCUCUCUGUUACCUUCAG
rnacentral:lncRNA from 1 species